rnacentral:lncRNA from 1 species
AAAUAUUUUCUUCUGUGUUCAACAACCCAGGUGAUGUCUUCUAAACUUUAACUUUACUUAUUUCCUUUAAAACAUUGAGGAUAAUGUUUCGUUCUGGUUGGGGGGAGGGAAUAGUUGACAAUUGUGGAAUCUUGGUUAAGUUUUUACUGAUUUUUGGUUGUAGAGACUAACCGUGGCUAACUUUUUGUAUUGAAGAUGGUUGAAUAUGGAGUGUAGUGACUCUAGAAAUGCAUCUUCUUGGUUUGAAAGUAAAAAAAAAACAAAAGAAAAAUUCUAGACAUUUUCUUUUUCUUUAUUAAGCUUUGACAAUCAUUUUUUUUAACUUCUUCUUUCUAAUUUCUCCUUUAUAAAUAUACACUUUUAAAUUUUUGAGUCGAAGAUGGCUGAUUAUCUAUUGAUGAUUUAAUUGGCUCACUUAUUUUCUAUGAAUAUGAUUUAACAGUUGAAAAAGUGCAUAGAGAAAAAAACAAGAGCAUUGCUCUUCAAGCUUCAAGAUUGGAAAGCGAUGAAAAAAGUGAAUCCGAAGUAUGAAAAUCUGAGUAUGAGAGCCAGAAAAUUCAGGAAGUUUUUCAAGAAAUCUAAUAAGUAAAGAAAGCUCUGGAACUUUAAAAACCAAAAGAAAAAGAAUGAAGCAAUCAUAUGCUUUGAAUGUAAGAAGCUUGGGCACAUAAAAUCAUAAUUUCUUCUCCUCAACAAGGCAAAAAAGAAAGCUAUGGUGGCAACAUAGAAUGACAGCGAUGAGGAGGCCUCAGAUGAGGAAGAAUCAUAUGAAGUGUUAAACCUGACACUUAUGGCAAUAGGAGAGGAACUUGAUGAGGUAAAUUAUCUUCCUUUUUAUGAUGUGUUGUUUGAAGCAUUUACUAAAUUGCACAAUGACUUUAAAAAGAUAAAAAUGAAAAAUGCUUGUUUUAAAAAGAAAAUGUAGAACUUUCAAAUAAAAAUGAGUAUUUGAAUGAAAAGAUCAAGUGCCUAGAAGUAGAAAACAAAAGUUUCCAUGAAGAAUUACAUUCUUUAAAGAAAAGCAAGACGUUUCAUUUAGGAAUGAAGGUUUACUUAUAGAUGAUUUGAAAAAAAAAUGAAAUGCUCAAGAAAAAGAGUGAUAAGCUUAAUGAUAUUAUCUUAAAAUUUACAAGUGGGCAAAAGAUUUAGAUAAUUUGCUUGGCUUUCAAAAAUGUGUUUUUGAUAAAGGAACUAUUAGCUAUAAGUCAAAUUUGAAAUAAAAGUAUUGUUAGAAUUACUUUGUUAAGGCUACCUCCAUUAAUGACCAAAUUAUAUGCCAUUAUUGCAAUAGAAACAGUCAUAUGAGUUAUAGAUGUCUAGUUAAGAGAAAUAUAUAUUAUGGAAUCAAAUGUAUUUGGGUACCAAAAUGAGCCAAUUGCUAACACUCAAGGACCUAAAAAGUUUUGGGUACCUAAAACUUGAGAUUUAUUCUGCAGUGAUCAAAGAAGAGGAAGAACAAAUGGUAUUUGGACAACGAAUGCUCGAGUCAUAUGACAGGCAAUUACUUUUGGUUUUUGAGUUUUACCAAUAUAAAAAAUAGUGGAGAACUAUCCUUUGGAUAUAAUUCAAAAAGAAAGAUUAUUGGUAUUGGUAAUGUCGGUAAAGAUUCUUCUAUCUUUAUUAAAAAUAUGUGUUUAGUUGAAAAUUUGAAAUACAACUUGCUUAGUAUUAGUUAGUUGUGCGAUAAUGGCUAUAUAGUUAUUUUUUAUAAAACAAAAUAUGUCAUUGAGAAUGCAUGUGAUCGCAAAGUUUUGUUUGUUGCAAAAAGAUGCAUUAAUGUAUAUACCAUUGAUAUAGAUUGCACAUGUCACAUGAUAAAUGAUUUUCGGCAUUACAUAAUGAUAGUUGGUUGGAUUUGAUUUCAACGAUUUCUAAAAGUGAUUUGGUUAAAGGACUUCCAAAGAUUGGUUUUUAAAAGGAUAGGGUUUGUGAAGGUUGUCAAUUUGGAAAGCAAAUCAAAACUUCUUUCAAAAACAAAAAUCAUGUCUCUACUUCAAAACCGCUUCAACUAUUUCACAUGAAUUUGUUUGGACCUUCUAGGUAUGCAAGUCUGAGUGGUAAAUAUUAUGCAUUUGUAAUUGUUGAUGAUUUCUCUGGAUACACUUGUAUAUUGUUCUUAAGAAAUAAGGAUGACACAUUUGAUGCUUUUAAAAUUUUUUGUAAAAAGGUUAAAAAUGAAAAAAAGAGUAUGUUAUUUAUUACAUUUAAAGUGAUCAUGGUAAGGAAUUUGAAAAUCAUGAUUUUGAAAAUUUUUACAAUAACUUUGGCAUUGAGCAUCAAUUCUCAUCACCAAAGACUCCACAACAAAAUGGAAUAGUUGAGAGAAAGAAUAAGUUUAUUCGAGAAAUAGUUACGACCGUGUUAAAUGAAAAUGUUUUACUAAAAUAUUUUUGGGCAAAAGUCGUCAACACCACUUGUUAUGUUUUGAAUCAUGUGUUGAUUAAAGCUUACAUUAAUAAAACUCCUUACGAGUUUUGGAAAGAUAGAAAACCCAACAUUGGUUAUUUCAAAGUUUUUGGAUGCAAAUGUUUUAUAUUGAAUACAAAAGAUAAUCUUGGUAAGUUUGGUCUAAAAUAUGAUAUUGGCAUUUUUUUUGGGUAUUCAAAUACAAGCAAAAUUAUAAAGUAUUACAAUAAAAGAACCUUGGUUGUAUAGAAGUCUAUGCAUGUCACAUUUGAUGAAUCUAACUCUUCCUCUACGGAGAAAGUUCCAGUUGAUGAUGAUGCAGAUGAAAAAUUACGAAAAAAAAUUGAUUCUUUAAAAGAAAAGCAAGAUAAUUCAGAAGAAGAAAAUCAAGAGGAGCAACAAGAAGAACAAGCUAAGCAAGAUAAGGAAAUCGGGUUGAGUUCGGGUAGGAUCGGAUUUGCUGCUGUACCGUACAUCCGCCUUGGCCGUACAGCAGUUAGAAAUAAAAUUGAUGAAUUUAAUGUAGUUGUAAGAAACAAAACUAGACUAGUAGCUCAAAGAUACAACCAGGAAGAAGGAAUUGAUUUUGAUGAAAUCUUUAUAGCUAGAUUAGAAUCCAUUAGGAUGCUUUUAGUAUUUGCAUGUCAUAAAGAUUUUAUUUUAUAUCAAAUGGAUGUUAAAAGUGCUUUCUUGAAUGGUUAUAUUAUAGAAUAACUUUAUGUAACACAACCCACUGGUUUUAAAAAUGAAACAUUUCCAAAUCAUGUCUAUAAGUUGUCUAAAGCUUUAUAUGGUAUGAAAGGUUUAGUAGAUUUCUUUUGGAAAAUGAUUUUUCAAUAGGAAAUGCGAAUACUACACUUUUUAUUAAGUAUAAAAAUGAAGAUAUAUUCAUUGUUCAAAUUUAUGUUGAUUAUAUUAUCUUUGGUUCUAAUAAUGGUCUUUGUGUAGAGAAUUUUCAUCUUAUAUGAGUAAAGAAUUUUAGAUGAGCAUGAUGGGAGAGUUGAAGUAUUUCUUUAAACUACAAAUAAAACAAAACAAAGAAGGAUUGUUAUCAAUCAAGCCAAAUAUUUGAGAGAUUUACUCAAAAAAUUCAGAUUUGAAAAGAGAAAGGCUAAAAACACACCAAUGAGCUCAAGAAUCAAACUUGACAAGGAUUAAAAAGGUAAAAAAGUUGAUGUCAAAACUUAUUGAGGUAUGAUUAGAUCUUUACUUUACUUGACUGCUUGUAGGCCUAAUCAAUGUAUGUUUAUGUGCAAGAUUUCAAAAAUUCCCAAGGAAUCUCAUUUGUUUGUUGUUAGAAAAAUUUUUCAUUAUUUGAGUGGGACAAUUGAUCUAAAUAUUUGGUAUCCAAGAAGGACUCACAUAGAUUUAACAUGAUAUUUGAAUGCCGACUACGCCGGAUACAAAGUCGAUAAGAAUAGUACUAGUGAAACUUGUCAAUUUUUAAGUCACUCACUUAUCUUUUGGUUCAAUAAAAAACAAAAUUCAGUUGCUCUUUCAACUAUUAAGGCUGAAUAUACUGCUACCGGUAGCUAUUGUGCACAAGCUAUAUAGAUGAAACAAACUCUUAGAGACUACGGAAUUAAAUUUGAUCAUAUACCUAUCAUGUGUGAUAAUACUAGUACUAUAAUAUAUCAAAGAAUCUCAUUCAACAUUAUAGGACCAAGCAUAUAGAUAUUAGACAUCAUUUCUUGAGAGAUCAUGUUCAAAAAGGGGACGUAGAAUUAGAAUUCGUUUCAAUUGAAAAAUAACUUGCAGAUAUCUUCACAAAGCCCCUUAGUGAGGGUCAUUUUAUCAAAAUUCAACAUGAACUUGGGAUGAUCAAAUUUUCACAUUAACAUGUCUAUAUAUUAUAUUGAGGUUAUCUGCUGGGUUUGAAUGUGUCGGUUGAUUUAAUUGAUUUUGAAAUUUUUAUGCAUUCAUUUUUUACAUGUAUUAAAAAUGGUCUUUGAGACAUUUCGGGUUCACGAACUAACCUUGGAAUGGAAACAAUUAUUGGCCAAAGAUUGAAACAUAUGUGUGAAAUUAUAGUUAAAAUAAAUAGAUAGCCAUUUCAAAAUAAAUGAAUAAUCGUUUUGAGAUAGAGACUUGGGGGAUGUGUUAUGUAAAUUAACAGUUAACCAAUAUCCAUAAAUGGUAAACCGUUUGUGCGUUCAAAGGUUUCUUAUGUUUUUGGAUGUCAACAGUUAUCUGAUUAUAGAAAAUGGAUCACAAUUUCUGUGGGAUUAUAGAAUUGUUCCAAGGUUUUGUUUCUCAUUUGCAUUAAACUUCAUCGUUUUCUCUCUAGGCCGCAACAAUUAAGCUUUAUUUCUCUAAAAUUCAUCAUUUGUUUGAGUGUUUCUUCCAAAAUUGAACCACUACAAUCAUUAUAAACCUUUUAAACUUCAUUUCUCCAUCAUCAAAAUCCCCAAUUUAAAACCCUAACUGUGAGCCGAGCAAUCAUCUUCAAAAUUGGUUGGAUUUUCACCAUUUUUUGGUAAUUUGAGCACCAACAUUACUUCUUAUACCCUCUUCACUUUAAUUGAUUAAAUUUCUCCCAAAACACUAAAUUUUCCAAAAUUCUCAAAUUUAGUAUAAAUGGCUGGUGAUGUGUCUUCAAGAAUAGGAAAAAGGAAAAAGCAAAUGGCAAGGAGGAGUCUAGUACAUCUUAGAACUGAUCCUGAGUUUGAUAGAACUCAUUUUCCAACCCCUCCAUUGGCUAGAUAGUUCCACUCUAGGUUUAUAUCCUAAUAGGUAAUUUCUUUAAACUAUGUUAAUAUAGAUAGUCUUGAUGAACUUUCUACAUGUGGUAAAAGUGUUAGGAGAUUGUUAGAAAUAGUAGGUUGAGAGAAUGCUUUGAGCAUUAAGGAUAAUGUAUAUCUUAAUUAGGGUAUUUUGUUUAAAUAUAGAGAUCUCUACCUCUAGACAAGAUAGGAUCCAUAAUAAUGUGGGUGGUGUCUCUAUUAAGUUUAAUGUGAAGGAUCUUAACAGGAUUCUAGGAAUUAAGGACGAAGGGUUAAAGAUAUGUAGUUGUAGGAAAGAACUUAUGCUCAACCAUUUUCUUUAUGUUAAUGAGAUUUGGAACACAACUCCUAAUGUGUAUGGCGACCUUUCCGAUGAUAUUUGCCACAUGCCUUUUCUAUCACAACUCUUACCUCUGUAGGUUCGAGUACUUCACAACAUCCUUCAACAUGUAAUUACUCCAAGGAAAUGACAUGUUGAUGAGGUUACUCGUUUGGAUGUUCGGUUGUUAGAUUGUAUCACCCGUCAUCGAUAGGUUAACCUUGGGUAUGUGAUUAUGAGACAUAUAUUGAGUACUUCUAAAGUUAGUAACAUAUUGUUUUUUUAUAGAAGUAUCAUUACUAGGAUCCUACAUCAUUCUAGAGUACCCCUUUGUGAGUCGUUCUAUGAGAAGUCCAAGAAGUUAAGUGGAAAGGUUAUUAUUGCAUUAGGAUUUCAUAUGAGGAACAAGGAAUGGGUUAAGACCACCUUUAUUAAAAACCAAGAUACCCUAGUAGCCCCCAAAUGUGACAAAGUUCUCAAUUGAUCAGUUACCAGAUUCUAGACUAGGAGCUAGUUCUCAAAAACCUCGUUGAGUGGUAACAACACAAGCUGAGGAGGCAGAGGAAUCGAAGGGACAUCACAUGGACACCGAUGAGCCUUCAGUUUCUGAAGGCAUUCUAUAGUAGCUUAUGGGUGAGGUUCGAUCACUUUCUGAGCAACAGCAGCAACUUUAAUCUCAAUUUACUGCUUUCUAACUUUAGCAGCAAUGCAUUCUCGACCAACAGCAGCAGUUUUUGGAUGGUCAGCGGUGCAUUCUUUUUACUCUCUGUAUUUUACCUCCCAGCUUUCCACUACAUCCACUGCAAUAGUUUUUUUUACUCUUUAUAAAUUUACUUUUUGUCCAGACAUUUAUCAUUUCAUGUUAUGUUAACUUUAUGUUACAUUUUAUUUUAAUUUAUGAGAUUAGAUAUUGGUUUUUAAUGAUGAUGGUUUGAUCUUUUCUUACAUGAUUUUUUGAUAUUUGAUGGAUCAAUGAUGACUUUGAUGAUUUUGAGAUGUUGGUUUAUGUACUUUGACGAUUUGGGUGUAAUAUUGCUAAAAAUGUUUUUGAGGUGAUGAUUGUUGAUGGAGGGAGGUUCUACUGCAAUUUCAACUGGGACAAUACGAGUAAAAAAUUACUUUUUCAUUGCAUUUCUUUCCUUUUAACACUAAAUUUUCAUUUUGACGAUGAAGGGAGAGAAAAAUACAUGUAUUUGAGCUUGAUAAUUUGCUAAACAUUGCUAAAAAUUGGCAUGUUUGUUAAAUUGGCAAUUAUUUAAAUUUGUAAUAUAUUUAAAGUGAGAUUACAUUUGGGGGGAACAAAAUUGUGCAAUCUUUUUCAAUACUUGUAAGGAACGUUUUUCAUCAUCAAGAAGGAGGAGAAUGUUGACAUAAAUGUAUCCAUAACAUUGAUUUUAAUACUAACAAACAAGAUUAAAAUGAUGGAGUCUUUAAAUUGAUUAGAUUUCUUGGGCCUCAUAUUGUUUUGGACAAGAUUAAGGUUUUGGAAACAAAUGGAUAGAUGUUAGGUUUAAAACGGCAAACUAACAACAUAUGGUUGAGUUAUUAAUAGCUUCUAGAAAUUAACGGUUAACCGUUUAUGAGAGGAUGAUUAACUGAUAAAUUCUAGAAAGGAAUUUAUCUGGAAACUGUAAUUCAUUAUUCACAAACAGCAAGCCGACUCAAAUCAAUGAACUCUCUGGAAUUAAAUGGCUAACCAACAACUUUUACUUUUUUAUUCAUUUGCCAAUUGAGCUUUCAUUUGUAAACACAUACAUUGUAUGAGGGAAAAUGUGUGUAAUCUUCAUUUCAAUAUCAAAAUUGAGGGACUGCAAGCGUGGGAAAAACUUUGGGAAAAGGGUGAGAGAUCAUCUCAUAUUAUGAAGGCUUUAUUAACACCUUAGAAGUCAAUUAUAAGCAUCUUGAAGCCUAGGGUUAUAAAGGCUUGAAUAGUGAAAUUCUUAAGCUCAAUUAGUUUGGAGGCGUGGACGGCGGAGUUUGCCAAACCGCAUAAAAUUUUUGUUUUCGUUAUCUCCUUUAUAUUUAUUUGUUAUUAUAUUUAUUAUUUCUAGUUUACAGCAUAAAUUUGUAUUGAAUUUUAAACUUAUUGCUUAAUAACUUUUAGAAAUCAAGAUAAAUAUACAUACAUACAUAUAUAGUGCUAAAACAACAAUGCAAGCAGGAAUAAGCUUCACAAAAGAAAAUGCUUACUAAUUAACAUUAGAAAGUGUUUACUUAACAAAUGUUAAAAUUUUCAUUUUACACACACACAAUUGACAACACUAACAACUUUUUCACAUUAAUGAAUCUUUGGUCCAUUUGAAGAAUAAUUAAUUUUUACUUUUUUUCUGAGUGAUUGUUGUAAUUUGAUGAAAAUCCCUAAAUUCAUGAGUUUUUGAUACUCAAAUUGAAAAAUGGACAUGAACUUUGUAUUCUAGAGACCAAAAAAAUCUUUUGAAGAGUCUCUAGAAUUUAUCACAUUAGAUUAGCCCUUCAAUUUUACAUUAAUCAUUCUAAAAAGUUAAGAUCUUGCCAUUCAUCUAAGCGCAUACACAUCCCAUUGCACCAAAUUCAGCCAAAUUAAUUUAUUAGUUCAGCCACCUUGACAAAAAGAGCCAAUGGAGAGUUCCGAUUUGACUUGAAUUGUAGCUAUUGAUUAAGUUGAAUCCAACCCUCUAUAAUGCACCACAUUGGUUACAAUUUUAGACCCUCAGAUUGUGUUAUUAAGGCUCAUCUAAAAGCUAUUAUUGUAGGCUUACCAAAGUUAUCAUGUAAAUAGAGGCAAGGGAGUUCACAACUGAGGGUGCAAAACUUAGGUGUGAGUUUUGUAGAAUUUUCUGUGUGAAGUUUAUAACGAAAAGUGUGAAGUUUGUAGGGAAAAGUGUAGUUAACAAUUUUUUUUUUUUUUAACUCUCUCAUUUGCUUUCAAUUUCCUUGUAUUGUGCUUUUACAAUUUAAUUUGUCAAAUAAAUAGGUGUUUUUGCUUAUCAACACAAGUGGCUGAUUUUCUAAAUUAUGAUGAAGCUCAAAGAUUCGAAUAUGGAUUUAGUUACUCUCUCAGUGAGUUUCAAAUUUAUUAUUUUUUAUUGUAUGUUUAAAAGUUGUAUUUUCUACCGAUUAUUUUCAUUUCAGAUUUAUUUGUAUAUUUAGAACUUCUUGGAUCUAUGUGGGAGUUUAAACCUAUGUCAACACAUUAAUACGAUAGUAGGAACUCUCCAAUAACUUAAGAACUAGGUCCCACAAUAUGUAAAUUGGGAAAACAAAAUGCAAAUUAUAAAUAUUAGAGACUAUUACAUCUAUAAUUUGAAUACCAAAAGUGUAUCCCACAACCUUAACACUUUUUUAUUUGGAUUAUUUUUUGUUAACUUAAUUUUCUACAAUUAUUUUCAUUUAAUUAUUAAUUAACAUAUUUUUAAAUUUAUUGUGGUUCGCCCCUACAUUGACAGGUCUAUAUUAUAAAUAGUACUUUUAUAUUAAAAAAUAAUUAAUUACUUUUAGGUAGUGUUAAGUUCUUACAUUGACAGGUCUAUAAUAUUUGUGUUUUUCUUUAUUUUUAUUUUUGAUUUUCACUUUUUUAUUUUUCUAUACCCCAUAUUCCCUCUUUUCGUGAAAAUUUUCAUUUAGUCCUUUCUAUAUUCUAAAAAUAUACUUUUAACCAUAAAGACUUUCAAUUGUUUUGUUUUCAUCCACAGAUUCUUACCGAUAAGCUUUUAGACUUUUAAAAAUACUAUUUUGGACGCAUAACAUUAGACUUUUUGUAAUUAAACUCCUAAACCAAAAUUUUCACAUACUAAAAACUUGUAUUAGAACUUAAUGGACAUUGAUAACUUAUUUUGAAUAAUUUUUCGCAAUUAGUCUAAGUGAACAAGGAAUCACUUUCUUUUUUCUUUAGAAUUAUAGUAAAGCCUAAAAAAUUUAACUAAUUGCAUAAGUUGGCUAGUAAUUUUUAAAUUGGAUUAAAAAAAGUAAAAAAAUUGGUUCAUACUUCGAGGUAAGUAAUUCUUGCCUUCUUUUCUCCUUUCAAUUUUAAGUCUUUUAUUUUUCACCUUUUUCUAAUUAUUUAAAUUAUUGUCAUUUUCUUUUUAGUAAGAUUUGUGUGCUUUUUUUUUUUUUUUUACUUUCUGUUUGCCUUUUUCUUUGCUCUAAUUUAUAUUUUGAUGUGAACUUGUACAUCCAAUAGCAGAUUAGUUAGAAGAUCAUCUUAAACACUAGUAAACAUGGUCAACAUCCAUACUGACAACUUCUUAAACCAUGGAAAUAACCAAGUUCUACAAAACAACCAAGCCUUUAAAAUCUUCAUGACUAAUCUAGGACACUCAGAGAAUAUUUUCACCCCAAUAGAGUAAUAUCACCUUCAUGCAUAGUUUUCCUUUUUGGUGCAUUAUGUUUUAAUUUCAAAGAAGAAAUCAUUCAAUUUUUGCCUAUUUUUCAUAGUUUUGAGUUUGAAAAUCCAUACCUAUGUUUGAGAGAAUUUAAAAAAUUUUGUAAUACUUAGAAUUUAAAAAAUUUUGUAAUACUUACACUAAUAAAAUUUAUAGCAUGAACAUCAUUAGACAUAAGUUUUCCCCCUCUUAUUAAAGAAAAGGGCUAAAACAUGGCUUAAUAUUGCUUCUUUGGUGGUCCAAAACAUGACAGCAAUUAUGGUACUGCUUAUGUCACUGUUCACUCAGUAACAAUAAUAAAAUUAAUCAAGGUGUGAGCAAAGCAUUGUCCUUAAAGCCGAUUUUUGCUCCUCUAAGGAGAUUUCUCGAUGCAAAAAGAACACAAAUAAAGCAUAUUGACCUUUAGGAUUCAAUAACGUUAUUGUGAGGUUGCAUCCAAGCACAACAGUUUAGAGUAGCGAAACAAAAUUUUAUGAAGAAAAUAUAAGAUAAAAGGAGAGAUUAUAAUUGUAUCCUUCAUGUCUCCCUUAGAUAGAAGACCCUCUAUAAUCCUUUUCCAAAUUCAAUUUGAAUCAGUCGUCCAUUUUCUUUACUUAAUUUGAAUUAGUCAUCAACAUGCCUCAUAAUUUAAUUUAAUUUAAAUAAUCCAAAUCACGUUUAGAUUUGACUUAUUCAACUCUAAUUUAUAAUUAAAUUAAACACGUGACUAAUUUCAAGUCAAAUAUAAAAGUGAUUACUACCCUCAAAUAUAGGACAUUAGUAUUUUGAAAUACCAAUAAGACUUUAAACUUCUCCCAUAUAUUUCAAAUACUUCAAUUUCCUUCAUUAUAGAGUUUAAUGCAUAUGAACUAGUGCCUUUUCAACUUGAACCCAUUGAACAACUAAUUGUAUUUCAUAAGAACUUGGUGAAACUUAUAGUUUCUAUGAACUAAUAUUUCUUUUAUGUAAGGCAGAGGACCAGAAACUCACACUAUACACUAAUAAUGUUUUGUUGUUCAACGGUUUUGACGCUUUAAUUGGCCUUGUGCUUUUUGGAAUUCAUGAGUGCUUUUUGGAAUUCAUGAGUGCUUUAGAGAUGCAUGUUUAGCUCUUAUAAGAACAUCAUCAAUUUAAUGCUCAUUUAUGUAAACCUCUAUCAAAUGUGUCUUGUAGUUUUGACACAUCAACAUACAUGAAAUAUAAGCAAUAAACAACUAUCUCUUAUUUGGGAGGACUAAAUAAAUAAAUCAAUAGUGUCAUAAGACAACAAGUAACUUAUUAUUACCCUUAUAAAUAUACUUCAUGGGACUUCUAAUCACAUAGUUAGGGUUACCAUUACUUUUUUCUUUUGUUUUAAACAGAAGUCUACACCCCUAUGAUGUAAUUACCACUAACCUCAUCUUUAGCAGAUUAGUUAGAAAAUUAGACAAAUUUGACUUUGACAUUAUAAAUCUACGCCCGCAAUCCCAGAUUCUAGCAACUACUCAAGAAUAUUAUAUUUUAGAUGAAAUUUAACUGCUUUUCCAUUAUAUAUCUUACCUCUUUGCCCAUGGUUAUAACAAUGUGGCAAUCACAAUAUAAUCACAUAGAAAUAGAAGGAUAAAUGUUAAUGGAAAGAUCCACUAAAAGGUUUAUUUACCACUUAGCUUCAGUACAUGCCUUCUUUAAGGUAAUUAACUUAGACUUCAUGGUAGAAUUAGCUAAACAUAUUUGUUUGGAAUAUUGCCAAGACAAACUCCUUCAUUAAGGGUAAAUAUAUAAUCACUAGUGCAUUUGAUUUCAUCUUAUCCCAAAAUCAAAUUCAUAUCAUUAUACCUUUCUAGCACAGAUGGAGAGCUAUUAUAGUUAAGUUCGGAUCAAUAGUGCCUUUCAAUUAUUUUACAAGUUUAUCUAUAGUUGUCAACUGAUCUUUACUAAGAUUUGUGGUGUAACUACUCAAUCUACAUGUAGCAGAUGUAAUGUCAAGCUUGUACUGUUCAUCAGGCCACCAAUAAUUUGGACAUAUCUCAAUAUAUCAAAACUAUGUUAUAGAUUUCUCUUAAAGGGGAUAUUUACGUCGUGCGGUGUGAAAACUAGUUCUCCAACAUAAUACUCACACCACCUCAACAUUGUGUUCCUGUGACAAUACAAGACCAUCACUAACCUAAGUAAUUUCGAUGCCUAAUAUUACAUUUGCUUCUCUUAUAUUUUUAUAUCAAAGUUAGAAGCAAGCAUCCUCUUAGUCUCAUUUAUCGUUCCCAAAUUACGACUCAGGAUGAACAUGUUAUUAAGUAAAGAAAAAUGAUCAUAUAAUAUUAGCAUCGAUGGGCUUAAUAUAGAUAUAUUUAUCUAAGUCAUUAAUCACACAUGUAUUUGAUGCUAAUAUUUGAUUAAACUUUUCUUGCCACUGUUUUAAUGCUUGCUCUAAACCAUAUAAUAACUUAACUAAUUUGCAUACCUUUUUGCUCAGUACCUAAAACUAGACAACCCUUUGGUUGACUUCUCUAGUUUUCCUCAUCCAAGUCUACUUUUAGAUAAGCAAUUAGACAUCCAUCUAAUAAAUAUGUUAGUUAUGAAUUACAGCUAGUGCAAUCAAACUCUAAUAGAUGCAAUAGGUUUAAAUAAUCUAUGUCUUUCUUUUAAGAGAACCCCUUGGUAAUUAAUCUUGCCUUAUAUUUAUCAGUUGAUCCAUUAACUUUCAAUUUUCUUUUGAAAAUUCAUUUGCACCUAAUAGGUUUUAUAUCUAAAGGUAUAUCAACUAAUUCUUAUACACAAUUACUCAUCAUGGAAUCUAACUCACUGUUGAUUGCUUCUCUCUAUAGAGGUGCAUUUCGAGUAACGUUUUUGAAAGUUUAGGGAUCAUUCUGAGUGAGAAAAAUAUAGAAGUCUCCAUCAAAACUAGGGGUGGGCAAAAUCGGGUUCGGUUCGGGUUGGGUUAGGGUCAACCCGAUUGGAUUUCGGGUUGUUCGGGUUAGGCAAACAUUGAUCCGAAUACAACCUUAACUUACGACCCGAUCCGAUAUAUAUUUGGGUCGGAUCGGGUCAAAAAUCGGGUUGAGUUCGGGUAGGAUCGGAUUUGGGUUAAAGAUACACUAAUUUUCUUAAUUUUAUUGCUAACAUUUAAAUUACAUAAUUACAACAAUCAAAUACCGAUUACCAAAUGUUAAUUUGUUAUAUAUAAGACAAUAACCAAUUAACCAUAUAUAAUUAUAUACCAUGAAAAAGCUUCAAAAUUCAACAAAGUGUUGAAACUCGGGUCACACAAAGUGACAAAGGGCAGAAAGUCGAGUCACGCAAAGGGCAGAAACUCGGGUCACAUAAAGGGCAACUCAGGUCGGGUUUGAGGCUUGGGCCUUGGAGCAAUAGAUCGAUGGCCACGGCAGCUUAUCACGAAUGGGUUUUCGGCAACACAGCGUCGGCAUUUGGCGACAGCAGAUCGUCGGCACUUGGCGGCAGCAGAUCGCGUACGGUUGGAUGCGCAGCAGCAGAUCGUAGGGACUGGCCGGAGAUGGAGAAACAGCAGUAGAUCAUGGGACUAGAGAGAGUGUGGCCUCCGUUGGCGGUGGCCGUUGGGUGUCAAUGUCACGGUGUGAUGAUGAUCAAAGAGGGUUGUUGUGGGUGCGUGUUUGCGUGAGUCUUGUGAGUUUGUGUUUAUUGUGAAUCUGUUGUGUGAUUUGUGUAAUUGUGAGAGUGUGACUAUGUGGUGUGCGUGAGAUAAUGUUUAGGUUUAAUUUUUUUUUAAGCAACCUGAUCGGGUUUUACCCGAUCGGGUUUACAAUAUUUCGUCCGAUCGGGUUCUCUUCACGACCCGAUCCGAUCCGAACCCGAAAUUUUUCGGAUCGGAUCGGGUCGGGUAUUUUGCCCACCCCUAAUCAAAACUACUGAUCAUUGUUAAACUUAAUCUUUUACUUUUCAACUAGCAUGUGAUGCUAGUGAUUUUGCCGUUGAAGCCGCUUUGGGAUAAAGAAUGGAAGAUAAGCCCUUUAUUAUUUAUUACACAAAUAAAAAUCUAAACAGUGCUCAGGUGAAUUACACCACUAUUGAAAAUAAAACAAAUUUUAGAAAGUUAACUUAAACCAUAAAAAUUAGUGUUUUCGACUUAUUGAUGCACUUUGGGCUUACAAUACUAAAUUUAAGACAUCUUUAAGAAUGUCUCCUAUCGUUUGAUUUAUGGUUAAUCUUGUUACUAACCAAUUGAACUUCAGCAUAAAUCAUUUUUGGCUAUUAAAGUUUUUAAUUCAAAUCUUGAUGAUGUUGGUAAUGUGCCCAAAUUGUAAUUCAAUGAAUUUGAAAGAUUAAGUGAUAAAGCAUAUAAGAAUUCAAGAAUUAUUAAAUAAAAAACCAAAGCCUUUCAUGGCAAAUGAAAUUUUGAGAAAACUUUUGAGAUUGGCUAAAAGGUAUUGUUUUAUUAUUCUCAUCUUCAUUUAUUUGUAGAAAAGUGAAAGUCAAAGUAAAGUGGCACACUCAUUGGAAAGAAUAUCUACUCAUAUGGGGCUGUAGAAUUAAGAAUCCUAAGAAUAGAAAUAUUUCUAGAGUGAAAGAAGCAAAAUUGAAAUUAUUCUUGGACAAAUCUUUUCCUCGAGCUCUUCUUUGAUCCUCUUCAUUCUGGAAAUUAAUUCUCCUUUUUAUUACUUAUUUUCGCUUUUGUUUUUUCAUUGAUUUUUUUUUACAAGUUGAUUUCGUGGGUACAGUUUCUCCACUUAGUUAAAUGGGAGAUGAUGGUAAUCCUGGCUCUUAUAAUCGAUUUUUUGAUUUCCCACAAUAACUAAUAACCCUCUAAAUUAAGCAUAGAAGAAAUUCUAAAGAAACUACAUUCACACUUUCUUUGAUUAUCUUAUCAACAUCUAUGAAGCAUGAUUGAAAAAAUGAGGCCAUUGAUGGUCAGUAGCAUCUCUAAAGAUAUUCAUUAGCUUAUUGAAGCUAAGGCUCAGUUAGCUAAUAUAUCAUUUUUUUCUCACAUGCUUGGUUUAGCAAAGAGCACUUAUGCCAAAAAGCAUAGAGCUAAGAGGUUAGGUGUUUGUUAUAAAUAUGCAGGCUGGACUUGCAACACAGGUUUCCGCUUUUUGGGGGAUAUAUAUGAUAAUCUUGUGGAUAAGAUUCAAUUCCUUAUGCAUGACUUGGGUAGAGAGAUGUUAGAUAACAAUAUCUUAUCAGUUCUUGAGAUGCAUCCUAGUGGCUAUGUGUAACUUGAGAUCGAAGGAUUAUUGAUAUAAUUUUGGCAUGAAUGAGCACAAUUCAGUCUAGGGUAUUUGACUUUAAAAAAUUAUGUUUGUCAAUUUAUAAGAAAACUAAAUGAGAAGUUUCUUCCCGACCUAUGAGAGGGCGUUAAACUAUUUUACAAAACUAAAGAAAAAUAUGAGCUAUAGUCACAAUUACCAAUAUAUAUCAUUUCUUUUCCUAUUUUGCUUUAAUUUUGUUGACUUAUUCAUCUGACAUUUCUUAUAGCAUUUGACUUAUUUAUCCUUCCUGCUAUUUUUGACACUUUAUUUGACAAUUGCCAACUUUUGCAUUUAUUAUUGUUAAAACAUUAGCUUCUAGAUCUAUAGAUACCUUGCUAUAUUUAUCUCUUUCCUAGUCUUUGAAAAAGAAAUAAUUAUAACGUUAGCAGUUCUAAUUUUACAACUUAAAAUUAUUGAUGUGUUUUUUGGAUAAAUUUCUAGACAAGCUAAAAAAAACCAAAUAAUAAAUAGGCAUUUAUUAUACUAUUGUCUUAGACUGAUAAGUUAUUUAAUUAAGAUAAUAUUUUAGCUUUAAAACUUUUAUUUUAAAGGCCAGUACAUAGAAUUUUUUUUAACUAUUCACCUCAUUAGUUGUUGGGUUAGGAUUGUUAAUCUGAUUAUAAUUUUAUGAUUAAAUGCAAAUUUAACCUUAAUUAUCUUGAAAUAAACCAAUCCCAACAUAUUUAAACUAUCACCAAACAAUUCUUAUUGGUAUUCUUUUGUAUGAAUCAUAUAUAUACAAUUUAGCUAUGGAGUCAUAUUGGUGUAAUUCUCCUUUUAUAUGUUUAAAGAGACAACGAAAAAAAAAAAAAAAAGAGAAAUUUUGUAAACAAAAAUGGUUUUUAAUAAAAAAACAAAAUUUAUAGUAAACUAUUUGAGUGUUGCCAUCAUGGCACGGCGAUUGUCACACACACAAAAAAGUAAUGGCCAAUUUUUUUUUUUUUUUGAUAUGAAACUGUCUCUUUCAUUUCUCAAACUCAGAAAACAAAUACAAAACGUUUUAUGGAAUAUUUGUUGGGGAAAAAUCAGGGUAUAAAGUGGCUACCCUGCUUUUUCUUUAGAGAAAAUAAGCAUUUUAUAUCUCCUUUUAGUGAAAACUCUAGGCUCCAAAUAAUCAAAAAACAAAACUUACGUUACUUGUUUUUUCUAUAGGGGACCCACCUUGUAAAAUAACAUAAGGCCCCUUAUACAAAAGCUAAUUAAAUGGAGCCUCUCACUAAAUGAUAUAUUUAGGCUUUUGGCCCAAAUAGCUAGUUAUCUUGCUUAUUAGUCCAGUAGUGGUGCAGUCAAUUAAAUGAGCUAACCCGAGGAUUAUUUGGGAACAUACAAUAGUGGCUACAAUAAUUAGGCUUGUAAUUAAACUAUCCCAAUUAUUUAAUUCCAAAUCUACUCCACUAGAAGAUUGGAACUGACUUCCAUAAUUGUAUGUUCGAAUAAUAAUUCGUCCCAAGCCACAUUGAUUUCUUUACUGCAUAAUCCUUUGUACCACAUCGUUAAUUAAAUUGAUAUCUCAACUGUCCAAUCAAUUUAAUAACAUCUUGUUCCUUAAUACUUACUGGUUUUCUCUAAUGACCAUUUUCAACAUACUAAAUAUGUUGAUACACUCUGGCCAGAGAAUUUUAUGAUCAAGUACCGAAAACCUAUCAAGAGAUGUGUUGUACAAAUUCUAUAUUGUUAAUCCAUAACUCCAAUACUCAUAAUUGCUUCCACCAAGAUACCGGGUAAUCUUGACCACAAGUAUGUGUCGUGCCCAUUGGUAACUCAAAUGGAAUGACAAUUACAAUCAUGAAAUCAUAAUUAACUCAAGAUUAAGAUUACAGUAAAAUCAACGCCUAUGAGAUUUUAAUAAGUCUGACAGUUAUUACAAAGUUAAUUAAAUCUCACAUGUGAUCCUGUUCAAUGUAGUUGUACUACAUCAAUAAAUUCAUACAUGAUUAAGACAAAUCAUUCAAUGAAUUUAUUACAGUCUAUACCUAAAUAAAGUGCCCAACUUUAUUUAUCAACUGCGAACUAAAUUUAUUUAAUCAUAAGAUAACUUGUAUUUAUGUCUUCUGUGAAUCCACAUGGUGAUCACAUAAAUACAUAUAAUAUGAUUAAAUGGACUUUAAUACAAAUAUUAAUGCAAUUAAGAUAUUUGAAUAAAAUACCUCAUUAAUUUUAUUAAUCAGAAAAAAUAUUUAUUACAAUUAAAUAAACACAUAUGCUUUUAAAGAGCAUAUUUUCCCAACAAUAUUAUCCAGCCAUGAGACAAAACUAUCUUGUUCUAGAGCUGCUUUAGCUAAUGAGUGAGCUACUCCAUUACAAUUCCUUGAUUCAUAUUGAAUUUUGGCCUGUUGCAGUCUCUUGAUCCUUUCUUGGAUUUCAGAAAUGAUCCAAAAGAUUUCAGUCCUUGUGCUUUUUCUGUUAAGAACUAAAUCAACCACCUCCUGCGAAUCUGUCUCUAUAAUCAAAGGCAUGCAUCCUGCACUUUCUGCAAUUUCCAAUCCCAGCUUUGUAGCUUCAGCUUCAGCAAAAGCCACACUACCACUGAAAGUCGAUGGCUUCAUGGCUGCUGCCACACACUUUCCUUCCGAGUUCCUUAUGACCACUCCUAAACCCUCUUUAUCUUGCUCUUCUCGCACAGCAGCAUCUACAUUCAAUUUAAAGUGCCCUGCUGGAGGUUGUUUCCACUGUUGACUGCUAAUGGCUUUCUUUCCCAGAUUUGAUUGUAAUUCAGGCUGCCUGAUUUUUUUGUAUGAAUUCACCACAGCUUUAGCUCUUGCAACUAAUAUCUGGGGAUCUUCCAUUUUGUUCCUGAGAAUAUGAAGAUUCCUUGAGUGCCAAACUACCCAGCAUAAAGAAAAUAUCAGUUCCAUAUCAGUUUUGCAUUUCUUGUUGGCCAUUUCUAUCAACAUGCUGGCCACAUCUUCACAUCUAGCCUCCUUUAUUUCAUUCCCAUGGUCUGUAAGGCUCCAUGUCUUUUGAACAACUUUGCAUUUAAAAAUAGCAUGAGCCAUCGUCACCUCUGUUCUUUGACAUCUCUGACACCAGGGGCUUUGUAACGUCUUUCUUCUCCACAAAUUGGUUGCUGUUGGCAGAAGGUUUUUGACCAUUCUCCACAUAAAAAAUUUUAUUUUUUCUGGUAGCUCUGUAUUCCAUAUUAUGCUCCAUGAAGUUUGGUUUCUCUUCAAACUGCUUGGCUGAUCAGGAAACUUUUGAUUUAGGGCCACUUGAUAUCCACUCUUAACUGUGUAUUCCCCCCUUUUGUCAAAAUGCCAUAGUGGUUGAUCUGGGCUGGGAUUUCUGGGAAGAGGAAUUUUAAGAAUCUGUUGUACAUCUUCCUCCACAAAGCUUUGCUGAACCAGCAGCUCCUUCCAUUGAUUUUCCACAUCUAUAAGUUCAGAUAUUGUCGACUCCAGUGGUAGCUUUGGAGGAGAGAAAGGUUUGAAAGUCUUAAGUCUUGGGAUCCAACGGCUGUGAUAUAUCUGAGCACUCCUCCCAUCUCCGAUUCUCCAUCUCAGCCCCUCAUUUAUAAUUUGCCUCCCCCACAGAAUACUUCUCCAUAUGAACGAUGGAUUUGAUCCCAAAUUUGCCCUUAAGAAAUCAGUACCUUUGAAGUACCUGGCCUUUAACACCUUUGCCACCAUUGAGUUGGGAUUUUGUAUAAUUCUCCACCCUUGUUUCGCCACCAAUGCUUGAUUAAAACAAGUUAAAUCCCUGAACCCCAGCCCACCUCUGCAUUUUGCUUGACACAAACUUUCCCACUUGGCCCAAUGAAUAGACCUCUGGUUUUGUUUCGAUCUCCACCAAAAUCUUGCAAUGGCCCUUUGAAUAUCCUCGCAUCGCCUCACUGGUAACUUAAAAACGCUCAUGGCAUAAACGGGAACUACCUGCGCAACAGCUUUUAUCAACACCUCUUUUCCUCCUCUAGAAAACAUCCUUGACUGCCAAUUAGAUAUUUUACUCAGCACUUUGAGUUUUAUGCUGUUGAAAAAAUUUAGCUUCUUUCUUCCCACCAUAGAAGGUAACCCCAGAUAUCUUUCAUGCUGCGACACUACUUGUAGCUGGAACAAGUUUUUGAUUGCAGCUAUUUGUGCCGGUUGAGUCCUUCCGCUGAAAAACAUGAAGGAUUUGUCAUAAUUGAAAAUUUGUCCUGAUGCCUCAGCAUAGCAAUCAAAGAUUUUCUUCAAGUUGGAGCAAUCUUCGAAAGUGGCUCUUGUGAAGAUUAGACUGUCAUCUGCAAAGAGGAGGUGACUAAUUGAUAGCUCUUUACUGAAACUCAACCCCUUGAUCAGCUUAUUUUCCUCAGCUUGAGUCAUCAUACUUGAGAAGACCUCUGCACACAAUAUAAAUAAGUAUGGGGAUAGAGGGCAGCCUUGUCUAAGCCCUCGUUGAGGUUGAAUUAGCCCUUUAGGUGCCCCGUUUAUCAAAACUGAAAAUGAGGGAGUGGUGAUACAUCUCAUGAUUAGAUCUACCCAAUUUGUUGAAAACCCAAGCACCUCCAUUGCUUGCUUUAAAAACCUCCACUCUACCCGAUCAUAAGCCUUGCUAACAUCUAAUUUUAAAGCUACCCAACCCCUUUUUUUCUUUUACUAAGCCUAAUUUUAUGUAAACACUCAUACCUAAUGAUUAUAUUAUCUGUAAUGAGUCUGCUUGGGAUGAAUGCACUUUGAGUAUGUGAUAUUACAAGAUGCAACAUUUCUUUUAACCUAUUAGCUAUAGUCUUCGCUACUAUCUUGUAAAUGACAUUGCAUAAGCUAAUAGGUCUAAAAUCACCCACUCUCUUAAGCUUUUCACACUUGGGAAUUAAUGCAAUAUAAGUGUGAUUUAAAGGGGCAAUAUUAUCUCCUUCGUUGAGGAUGUGCAGACAUGUAGAAAUGACUCUUUCGCUGACCGCAUUCCAGUGUUUCUGGAAAAAAACAGCUGGUAAACCAUUAGGGCCAGGAGCUUUUGUUGGGUGCAUCUGUUUCAAGGCUGCAAUAAUCUCUUCCUCCGUGUACACUUGGUUCAGCUACUCGUUCAUAUUCUCUGUCACUCUCUGAGGCAUGUUCUUUAAAGCUUUCUCCAGCUGGCUAUCCGUGGGAUGUGUUGAGGUGAAGAGGUUUGCAAAAUACUCACAGAAAACCCUUUCAAUCCCUUCUAUCUCUUCUGUCCAUCUGCCAUUUUCGUCAAGGAUCCCUUCAAUUGUAUUCUUCCUCUUUGUAGCUGAAGCUUUGGAACAAAAAAAUUUUGUGUUUUUAUCGACCUCUUUUAGCCACACUGCUCUGGAUCUUUGUCUCCAAUAAGCUAGUGGAGAAAGCACUAAAAGAUUUGUGUGGACCCAACCAAAUCCACUGCGACGAGUAACGCGACCGCAUGAUAUUAAGAUUAAAACGAGUAAACGAAUAAUAAUUAAAAUGCUGAAAGCCGCAAACAAACAAAAAGAUCAAGACACUUGCCAAAUUAUUGAGAGAAGUAACAGACAUAUAGGAAAAAGGAUAAUAAAAAAAAGGAUCUCAUUCAGCUUUUUGAAAAUUCAUGAUGCCAUUGUCAACGUAUAUACUCAUUGCAGAUUAGUUCUUCGGCCCAUAAAAAAAAAAAAAGAAAAAUAAAUUAUUUAUUCAUCUCUUUCGUUUCUUCGGGGAGAUAGAGAGAAGAGAAUGGGGCACGGAAGCUCAAAAGAAGAUGAGAGUGUCUCGCGCACGUCUCGAUUCAGGAAGAAGUUUCACCUCCAUCGUGAACGACGCCGUUCUCGUGGGAAUGGCUCAAACUCUGGAUCUUAUCAUCACAACAGAGUUCUCAAUGAAGAGGAUUUCGCUGGAAUUGCUCUCCUCACUCUGAUUAGCGUAAUUGCUCUCGUUUUUUAUUUGGUCAGUGGAUAAAUGAUAUUUAUUUAUGAAGCAUUUUUUUUAAAUAUAAUUUUUAUUAUUUUUAGGCGGAGAUGAAGUUCAAGGACAAGUGGCUUGCAUGUGUUUCACUUGGAGAGCAGACGUUUCGCACUGCGAUUUCUGAUAAGUUACGCACUUUUGCUAGGCUACAAAAUAGUCAUUUCUUUUGUCUUUUAGUUGAUUCUUCAUUUAUGUUGACUUUGUUUUCAUUUUUGUUUGUUAUUUCUUUUUUCUGGUGCAGUACCGAUAAACCUAUCUGGAAUUCUGUGAGUACUCUGUCUCAAAUCUUAAUUUGCAGUUUAUGCAGUGACUUGGGUAGAAUAGUUUGACUUUGUCUCAUCUUUUGAAGCCAAGUGAAUGCAUGAUUUAAUUUGAAUGCAAGUGUGCAGCUGUUCUUGUGGUUAUUUUUUCCUAUUUGGUAUAUAGCUAUAUCUAUUAAUUACAUCUCGUUAAUAUUUUGGCAUAUAAUUUUGCAUGUGGCGGAUAUUUUCAUCUACCAACAAACUUUUCCAAUAAGAACUUUUAAAAAUUUUAAUAUCAUUGAGGAAAACCCUUAACACCAAUUUUUAUACUGCUAAUAAAAUGUUUGGAAAAUAUGACACUUUUGUAAUCUUGUUUUAUUUUUAUUUUUUGAGUUUUUGGUAUAAGAAAGGAGUCUUUUCCCUUAAGUUAUAUGGUUUUGUCUAGUUUCUUAUCUUGCAAAUGCAUGAUUUUUCUCUUGCCAUACUAUCCUCGACAUAGCUAAACACAGCACCUUUCACAGCAUUUUGGCUUUCUUUCCUUUACCAAAAGCGUACAAAUUCUGCUUAAGAAAAUCUUUCGUAAGAUCUUGAAACAGCCUAGCAAAUUUUGGCUUCCUUACAAAUAGUAACUCUCAUAAAAAGAUUAAAUAUGGCAAUGCAUGAAAAUAUGAGCUGUGUCUCAUCAUUUUCCUACAAAUUACAUACAAACAUGGAAAAAGACUUUAUCUUGGGUGGCGUGGUAAGUAGGCUUAUAAGCACUUUGGCUCCGUCUCCUUACAAGCCAGUUUUUAAAGCUGAGUUCUACCUUGUGUCUGCGUAACAAUUGGUAUAAAAGCACGCACCACCUUGAGUGUUGGAUCGGACAUGCCAUGCCAAGUUGGGUGUGGCUUUGUGACUGUUGUUGUGGAUAGGCUGACUUGGGGAGUGCUGCUACCUAGAAGAAGACAAGGUCUGCAAAGUCACCCAGCUAGGUAUGCGUGAUGGGCUGCUGUGGGCGUCGGUUGUGAACCGUGGUGGAAUUUUAGGAUCCUAUCUCCUAUAUUGCUAAGUUAAGGCUAGGCAAUUGGGCUUAUAAGCACUUGGCCUUCCUCUCCUUACAAGCCAGUUUUUAAGGAUAAGUUUUACGCAAUGUGUUUCUUUGCAAUUAAUUGGCUGUCUUAUCCCUGAAUAGGAUCUUAAAACAUUGAAGAUUUGGAGAGCCUUUGGGCUUCCAUCACAUUGACUUGGUGUUAGAUCUCAUUGGAAUUCUCACAACUUGCAAAAUAAGAAAUACCAGAAUUCUUGAAACCUCAGUCCUUUAAUCUUUUGUGCUAAUCAUGUACAUGGGCUAAACAGCUACCACAUCAACUCAUUUGUUGCAUUGUGCCUUUGGAUCUCUUUUUUUAAGUUAAUUUAUGUUGCAUUCUUGCAGAUGAUGGUCAAAACAUUAUUCUUCUUUUAUUACUUUCUUUGUAUAAACUGCAUUUUAAAUACUGCUCGAGUAUCCCUAUUGUAUGCAGCUAUACUGCCUGUACUAUGUCGUUCUGAAGAUGCUAUACUUAUUAAAUUUGAUUUCAUGUUUUCUGGAUUCUUUAUGCUAAAUUGAAAGUUGAUUUUAUCGACAUGCACAUGUACUGUCAAGUUGCAGGUUCUGUAUCUUACUGAUUGAAUGAACACUAUGUGAAUCUAGAAUUAUGCUUUAACUACAGGAAAAGAAACUUCUCUUGGAAACGAAUGGGCCUCAUGUUGCUAGGAUAUCGGUAUUUGAGGUAUGCAGUAACUUUAAGCUGGUUUUUGCAAAACUCUAUUCAUUUCAUUGAAUUAAAUGUGUCUUUUGUUUUGGGCCACCAAGGAGGUUCAAUUUAACCCCCAAGUAGCCUUUUAUUCCUUUUGUUAUCUUAGAAACAAAAUAUGAUGUAAUUUGAGGGAAACAAAUAUCCCUCUAGUUUAAUUUACUGAAUUAUUUCUUUAAACACCAUCAACAAUAAUUCCUGUUUAUUUAUCAUCUAGUGGAUGGGUUGUAGAUAAUGUCAUUCUAAUCUAACCAACGGUUAUCCUGUUAACGUGUAAGUCACUCUUUUUGUUAACGUCCGAAUGAUGCUUCCCUUAUGAUCUGAAAAUACACUCCAUCUGCUGCACACUAUAUGAUGGUAUUUUCAAACCAUCAACAGUAAUUCCUCUUUAUUUAUCGUGUGGAUGGGUUGUAGAUGAUGUCAUUCUAAUCUAAUCAAUGGUUAUCCUGUUAACAUGUAAGUCACCCUUUUUGUUAAUGGCCGAGGAUGCUUCUUCCCUUAUGAUCUGAAAAUACACUCCAUCUGCUGCACACUAUAUGAUGGUAUUUUCAAUGUUUAAGGCAAUAAAUAUUUUGAAUCUUUCUAUGAUAGAAAAUAAAAGAAUUGUACUAUUAAGAGAGAAAGCAUCAUAAAUUUAUUUAAGUGGAAACUCUGGCAGAAAGCCGACAAAGUGUGGUUUAACUUGAUUUAGGUUUAUCUUUUGGGUAGGUCAUAAAAGUUCUCUGCUAUGUAAGUCACUCUUUUUGUUAACGUCCGAAUGAUGCUUCCCUUAUGAUCUGAAAAUACACUCCAUCUGCUGCACACUAUAUGAUGGUAUUUUCAAUGUUUAAGGCAAUAAAUAUUUUGAAUCUUUCUAUGAUAGAAAAUAAAAGAAUUGUACUAUUAAGAGAGAAAGCAUCAUAAAUUUAUUUAAGUGGAAACUCUGGCAGAAAGCCGACAAAGUGUGGUUUAACUUGAUUUAGGUUUAUCUUUUGGGUAGGUCAUAAAAGUUCUCUGCUUGUUUCCAUCAAGGAUUGAACACAGUUUUGCAUAGAUAGGCAAAGGAUGAAAUCUGUGAACUGUGAAGUGAGAAUUGAGAAGAAGGGUAAAAUUAUCACGUGACAUGUCUUUUAAUGUUAUGAUUCUGGCUACUACUUGGAAUCCCAUGUUGUAGCUUUUCUAUUUCCUGUCAAUCAAGACUGUGAUGCAAUUUGGUUCUUAUGCUAUCACUAUUCCUUGGUGAGCCAAUUAGGACCCAAGGUCUUAUUCCUAGAACAGCUUGUAGCAAUAAAUGUUCUUGGCCUUAAUGGUGGACUUGUACUUGCAGUUUGUGACUUGGUGUGGACUUUGUGGUGUUCGAGUAUUGGGAGGACUAGGGUUUGGUUUUGAUUGAGAUUUGAAGGUUAAGGUGGCAGAAUUAGACCAAAGAGAUGCUGGAAUUUUCUGAUGCUCUAAAAGUAUAUGUUGCAAGGGCUGUUAUUGAUGUGUUAGUGAUUUAGGAGUUAGGACUGCAAGAGAAUCCAGAGAUCAGGUGAGGGGAUAGAAAUAUGAUAGGAAUGGAUAGAGGAAAAAAGAUUUGAAGUUUAGGCAGAAGAAUUGAAGGGAGAAUAUAUAAUCUCCUCCCAAUUAGAUUAUGACAUAUUUAAAGAUAAGAGAAUGGUGGUAAUUUUGGCUGCUGACUUUGAUAGGGAGAAGUUUUAAAGAUAUGGAUAGGAGGUUCACUAAGUCAACUGAUUAAGGCUAAAACUUGGCAGGAAUUGAAAACAAAGGUUGAUGGAAAUUUUGCCAACGUUUAGUUGGUUUGGUGGAAAUGUUGGGGAAAUAAUGUGUUUGAUUGAUUGGUUCUUUUAUUUUUGUUUUUAAACUUAAAAUAAAUCUUUUUGUCUAUUUGUAUUGAUAUAUGUACUUGCUAUAUAUAUACACAAUGUUCUUAUGCAGUUCAAUGGAGUUGGUUUUCCCUUUUCCUUGGUUUGUCCUGUCCACUUCUUUUUAAAUACAGGCGUCAGCUCUAGAUAAUUAUAUUUAUGCAUAUGCUUCAAAUUAUUAUUUUCUCUUUUUGGCCUUCCAUACUGAAGUUCUUAUGCAGUUCAGUGGAGUUGGUUUUCCCUUUUCCUUGGUUUGUCCUGUCCACAUCGUUUUAAGUACGCCCAAGGUCUUAUUCCUAGAACAGCUUGUAGCAAUAAAUGUUCUUGGCCUUAAUGGUGGACUUGUACUUGCAGUUUGUGACUUGGUGUGGACUUUGUGGUGUUCGAGUAUUGGGAGGACUAGGGUUUGGUUUUGAUUGAGAUUUGAAGGUUAAGGUGGCAGAAUUAGACCAAAGAGAUGCUGGAAUUUUCUGAUGCUCUAAAAGUAUAUGUUGCAAGGGCUGUUAUUGAUGUGUUAGUGAUUUAGGAGUUAGGACUGCAAGAGAAUCCAGAGAUCAGGUGAGGGGAUAGAAAUAUGAUAGGAAUGGAUAGAGGAAAAAAGAUUUGAAGUUUAGGCAGAAGAAUUGAAGGGAGAAUAUAUAAUCUCCUCCCAAUUAGAUUAUGACAUAUUUAAAGAUAAGAGAAUGGUGGUAAUUUUGGCUGCUGACUUUGAUAGGGAGAAGUUUUAAAGAUAUGGAUAGGAGGUUCACUAAGUCAACUGAUUAAGGCUAAAACUUGGCAGGAAUUGAAAACAAAGGUUGAUGGAAAUUUUGCCAACGUUUAGUUGGUUUGGUGGAAAUGUUGGGGAAAUAAUGUGUUUGAUUGAUUGGUUCUUUUAUUUUUGUUUUUAAACUUAAAAUAAAUCUUUUUGUCUAUUUGUAUUGAUAUAUGUACUUGCUAUAUAUAUACACAAUGUUCUUAUGCAGUUCAAUGGAGUUGGUUUUCCCUUUUCCUUGGUUUGUCCUGUCCACUUCUUUUUAAAUACAGGCGUCAGCUCUAGAUAAUUAUAUUUAUGCAUAUGCUUCAAAUUAUUAUUUUCUCUUUUUGGCCUUCCAUACUGAAGUUCUUAUGCAGUUCAGUGGAGUUGGUUUUCCCUUUUCCUUGGUUUGUCCUGUCCACUUCUUUUUAAAUACAGGCGUCAGCUCUAGAUAAUUAUAUUUAUGCAUAUGCUUCAAAUUAUUAUUUUCUCUUUUUGGCCUUCCAUACUGAAGUUCUUAUGCAGUUCAGUGGAGUUGGUUUUCCCUUUUCCUUGGUUUGUCCUGUCCACUUCUUUUUAAAUACAGGCGUCAGCUCUAGAUAAUUAUAUUUAUGCAUAUGCUUCAAAUUAUUAUUUUCUCUUUUUGGCCUUCCAUACUGAAGUUCUUAUGCAGUUCAGUGGAGUUGGUUUUCCCUUUUCCUUGGUUUGUCCUGUCCACUUCUUUUUAAAUACAGGCGUCAGCUCUAGAUAAUUAUAUUUAUGCAUAUGCUUCAAAUUAUUAUUUUCUCUUUUUGGCCUUCCAUACUGAAGUUGAAUGAUUAUUUUGAUCUCUGUGAAAUAAUUUCUACAUUAAAUUUUCUAUAUUCUGCAGACUAAUAGAUUGUCGAAAAGCAAUCUUGAAGGAUAUUGUGAAGUUGAUCUCCUUGAAUUUCUAACAAAGGUGAGAGAUUUUAUUAUUGAAUUCUUAGAAACUUCUUAGUAGUAAUUUGGUGCAUAAACCUGGGAAUUUCCAUAGAACUACAAAUGAAAGUCGCACAAUUGCGUGCAAUUGCAUGUGUGUGCACGUUACAUAGAGAUAUGAUAAUGAGUGUCUCCAUCCUUUUGCUGUGAAUAUGAUGUUGGUGAUAACGGCUUUGAACAAUUGGAUUGUAAGUUUUUGGUGGAAUAGGUGCACUGCAUGAGUGCAUGGAAUGUUGUUUUGGCUGUUUAAGCUGCAUUUGGCACGCAAGGCAAACUGGACUGAGACUGGAAUAGAUUCUAUGUAAUAUGGUCCUUGUUCCAUGCAGUGUUUGGUUGAAUUGUAUGCAUUAUUUUCCCAAUUUUAUUAUAAAUAUUGAUUGACUAUUAUUAAAUCAAAAAUAAUAAUAAUAAAAAAGCACUGUACUUUAUUGGCCCUUGAAAUUAAAUUUCUUUAGUUACUGAUCUGUAUACAAGAAGAAACAACAACAAUUCAAAAGCCAUCUGAAGAAGCUUUUAUCAUUUGUUAGUGGACUAGUGAACUGUUUCUGGAAAUGCUCAAUCAAUUCAUCCUCUCAACCUUCAGAUUGCAUAUGCAAUUGUUGUUGACAUUUUUUUUUUUCAGAUCUUUAGGAUUAUCUGUUUGUAAUUUUAAUUACUUAUGUAUAAAAUAUGUUGUCCUUAGUAUUGAAUUACACUAACAAAAACCUAAAGCAAACAAAAAAAGGGGAAACAAAUAUAUAUAUCAAAAGAUUUCAUAAGUUUGUUUUAAAUUGGUCAUGAACAAGAGAAUUUGAUUUUAUUUGUUUAAGUUUAGUUACUGCAUGCUUCUGUGUUAUUAUCAUCUGCUUAGGGAUGCCCACAUGAUAAUACCAUUGGUAGCGUUGGACUACUAUUACGUGAUUAAUUUUUCGUGUAGUCGGAACUAAUGGAAGGCAUCAAAUAUGAAAUUAAGACGAUAGUCUUAUGAGUUGGUCCUAUCUUAGGAUUAUAAUGUACCCUUGAGGAAUUGCUUAAUUAUAAAACAUUUGAUGGGAUUAACAUGAUUUAUGAAAAUAUAAAGAUUUUUGAGGACUAAGUCUUCUUGGUCCGUUGCCAUUACCCACAGGCCCUAGCUGUGCCGCUCCUCAAAAAUCCAAGCACAAAUCGUAGCCACCACCACCACAAACCUUUGCCGCCGCAGCCACGACACCAAACCCUAGCAGCCACCGCAUAAAACCCUAGCGAAGGCUGGACUGCUAGCCCUUGAAUAUGGGAUUAAUUUUUGGUGUAGUCAUUUCUAAUUGAAGGCAUCAAACAUGAUAUUAUGAGUUUAUGACAACAGUGUUGUGAAUUAGUCCUAUCUUAGGAUUAUAAACUAGCUUUGCGGAACUGCUGAAUUAUAGAACUGUAAUGAGAUUGCGCAUGAUAUUUUGAGGACUUAGUCUUCUUGGUUGUCAAAAGUAUUUUAAUUCUUUGAACCUGUGAUUAACAUUUCAUAGUGAUGUUCUUUCUUUCUUUCUCUUUCUUUCCGUUGCAACUAUUGUGUACAUACCAUGUAUAAUAUUUUCCUCCCUUUUCUUUCUUGUUAUUAUCUUUAAAACAUUAUCUUUUGAAAGAAUGACACUCAUCCCUUGUAGAGUUUUUUUCACAACUUGGGUCCCUUCGAAAUUUUUAAUUUCCAUUUUGUCCCUUGCAUUAAAAUAUGAAAGGAAAAGUACAAUAUUAAACGGUAAGUUUGACCUUUUAUAUUAGAUUUUAAUUUGUACAAAUCAAAUUUUGAUCUAACAUCAAUUUGUAUGUUAAAAUACACAUUUAGCCUUCAAUAGUGUUCUUUUUUCAUUUACAUUUUAAUGCUGCGGACGAAGUGAAAAUAUAAAAAAUUUAUUGGGGACCAAGUGGUAAAACUACUGUUUUCCUUUUUUUUUUUAAGAGAUGAAAUAUGUCACGCUUCCUUAUUUUGUUUUAUAAAAUAAAACAUAUUACUUUUUACUUUUUUCGUAAUCACUGAAUAUUGAGCUGUUUGUAAGUUGAUCUUAGCUCUUUGAUUAGAGUUUGAUUCAAAUUUGAGGACUUAUGUGACUUUGGGUAGCUAAUUUGCCAGUUAAAAUAUUUAUAUUUUUUUCUCUCUUUUCUUUUUUUUUUUAAAUUUAUUUCAUGUUUAUAUAAUAUUGUGUUGCAGGAUUCAGACGCUGACUCUGAGGUAUUUGACCUUUUAGAUCCAUCAUCAUCUAACAAAAUUGUUGGCAAGAUUUCUCUAUCAUGUUCUGUUGAGGUAAGUAUAUUAUUAUUCAAUUGAUUGAGCCCAGCUGGAUUAAUGAAUCUUAACAUUCUUUUGAAAUCAUUGGUAGGAUCCAAUUGAAACAGAGAAAAGUUUUGCAAGACGCAUAUUAUCAAUUGUGGUAUGUUUUAAAUGUUCAUUCAUCUUCUUUUCUAAUUCUCACGCCAACUAAUUAUCUUGCUAUUUGUGUGUUUUUUGGAUAGUAAUUUAAUUAUGUUCUUGGGGCGUUCAUAGAAUAGUUUCUUUGAAGCACAAGUUUGGGUUUAACUAAAACCAAGAACUUUGAUUUUAGUUGUUUGGAAUUUAGUUAGACGAUAAUAAUUAAUUACGAGCUUAUGUAUAAUUGCGGGUGUCUAGUCCCAAAAUUUUCACACUUACCAAACUUUUGUAAUGGGAGAACUUAUACCCCGUUUGGGAGUGUGGUGAGGUAGCCCAGCUACUAAGGUGUUUGGUAACACUUGUAGCUGAGCUUUGACAACUUAGCCAAUUUUUUUUUCCAACUUAUACUCUACAGCUGUGGCUUUUAUUCCACAGCUGCUGCAGCUUAAAAAGUACAGCACUUCACUUCCAAACACACCCUUAAUGGGGCUGGAUUAUUUUGUCAAAUUUUGGUUCAAUCUUUGUUUUGGUACAUGCAAAACUAUAGCUUAUCCUGGCUUUAUCCAAUUUAGCAAGGUAAACUAAAGCCUUUGGGAUAAUAUAGAAUAAUUUUUUUAUUGAAAAAAAAAAAUCUUAUGUUUUGUUUCAUAUAUUAAAAUUUAGUAUAUUAUGAUCUUAAUUUAUAUUUAAAUAUCUAGUUAGUUUUAUUAUGUUAUGUUAUUUAACUAAUAAUGUGAAGAGUAAGUUUACAAUAGAGGAAUCCCUUUCUUUAAUAAAAUAAGGGACAAAACUAAAAGACGAAAAAAUAUUUCAAUACACAACAGGACAAAUACGCUGCUUUGAUUUGUGUUUUUUAAUCUUUUAGCUUGUCCCUUACUUUAUUAAAGGGAUUCCCUUCUUUUAAAAUUACUCAUAAUGUGAUAGUUUAUAAUAUUUAUAUUUAUUACCUUUGUUUAAAUAAAGGUUGGGGGUGAGCAAGGCCAAAUAUAAUUUUAACCCUUACCUGGCCUAAAAGUUGAACUCGGGUGGCUAGCCAAAUAAUAAAUUUAUUAUAAAUAUUUUAUAGAUGGGUUAAUGCUAUUCUAAUGUAAAAUUUUGCAAAAUAUUCUCAUCCAUUGAUCUUGUUAAAUCCAACAGUUGAAAAUAGAAACAAUAAAUGCUAUUUUUUGACUUUGAAAAUUUAUAUUGCACAAGAUCAAUGGAUGAGAAUUUUUUAAAAAGUUUUUGAGUAAAAUUUAAGUUGGCAUAGCUUGAUCCAGAUAAAUAUUAUAUUAUGAAAUUGAAAUUUAAUUAUUGAGUUAGUGCCUUUAUGUUAUUUUACAUAGAUAAUAACAUAUACAGUAUAUUUGAUUGUUCACCCAAAUAAAUCGACAUUCGUUACUCUAACAUCAUCCAUUAGUUUUUUCCAUUACAUUUAACCGUCAACCACUUUGACCAUAUAAAUACUUAGUCAUACCCUUAGUUUAUAUGAUUAAAGGACCAAAAUACCCAUUUUAACUUAAAAUGACUAAAAUGUCCAUCGACAUACUUUAAUUUCCAUUUUUUAUUCUUUAAUUUAUCUCUCUUCCGUUCCCUCUCUCUCAUUUUUCCCCAUUUUAAUUCAUCUUCUUAGUUGCCAAACACCUAUGAACACAAGGUUGGUCAUAUUCAAGGUGAUUUCAGUGAGUUCUGUGAUUCUUAGUCCUAGUCUGUAUUUGGCUCUCAAAGCAUGUGCAGUAGUGGAGUGCUACUCUGUUUAACAACUAAGAUAAUGAAGAAACGUAGGAAAAUUUUGAGAGGGGAAAGGAAGAGAGAGAAAAUAAAAGGGUAAAAAUGGAAAUUGAAGUUAUUGUGAUGGAUAUUUCAGUCAUCUCGCAACUAACGGUGUAAUUGUAUUUUCAUAUGGUAGUGGUAAACAGUUAAGUUUAAUGGAAAAUUUAACAGAUGGGGGGUGAAGUAAUGCCUUUUUGAAAUACUGAGGUCGAGUAGCAAAUGUCUUUUUUUUUGGAUAUGUAGUCAAAUUUACCCUAAUAAAAAUAAGUUGAUAAUAAAAAUUCAAUUUAACAAUAACAGUUUUUUCAUUUAAAAACCAUAUUGAAAUCAUGUUUACUAUUUGUUUAAAAAACAUUUUGCUUUCCUUUGUAUAUAUAAUUUCCAUGAAUAAUGGUUAUACAAUAAGUUCCAAGUUUCUUACAUGCCAUCCCAUUGCUUAGGCUUUAAUUGAGGACUUAAUACUGCUAACCAAUGUAUUUGUUUGGAAGAAUUGAGACUCUCUACUGUUUUUCUAUUACUGGAGUAUAGCUUAAUGUUCAUAGCGUCCUGGCUUUUUCCUUUUCAAAUAAAAUUUCCGAAUCUUAUUCAUACGUACUUUAAAUUCCAGUAAGGACCUAAUUCUGAAUGUGAAUAUCUAUAUUGUUCAUUUGGAGAUUUUAUUUUUAAUACUAAUUUCUGGAUAGUAUUCGUGAUUAUUGUUUUAUUCACCUUCUUGCCUUCUGUGAUAUAGUCAACCUUUUAAGUUUUUGGGAACCUUCAUAGGAUUACAAUCAGGAUGGACAGCUUUCGUUCAAAGAGUUUUCUGACUUAAUUAGUGCUUUUGGCAAUCAAGUGGCUGCUAAUAAGGUUUGAACUUUGCUUUACUAUUUGUUUUAUUUGACAGUGCAACCACCUUUUUGGUAUGAUCUGUUUGAAUAGUUACAAAUGUAUUUUGUCAAAUAUUUGCUUAGUCUACCAUCUGAUUUUCUACUAAAGUGUUUGGAUAGUGGGAUUCAACUUUCAAGAUAUUGUUAGGUUUCCAAAAUACUCCCAAACCUGUUUUUACAUCACACAUGGAAAUUUGAAUUAUAUGUGUUGGAUUUUGUCUACUUCCUAUUUUUGAAACAUGCUUCCGUAUGGUGGAUCUUGAUUGUGUAAGAUCCUGUUCUUGUUCUAAUUUUGCAUUCAAAAAUGCUUUUCUUAGAAAGAGGAACUUUUCAAAGCCGCUGACAAAAAUGGAGAUGGGGUUGUGAGCGUUGAUGAGUUAGCUGCCCUUCUUGCUCUUCAACAAGAAAAGUAAUGAUUCUAUAAUUGCAUCAGCAUCAAUUUGAGUUAACAUUCUAUCUUUUCUUAGUCAAAAUAAACAAUGCCACCCAUGUAAAUGUCCUUGUGGAAUAUGACUUUUAAUAUCCUAUGUGGAACCUGCGAAGAGAAAUAUGUUUUGAUAAAUGUCCUAUGUUUGAACAUUUAACAUAUAUUUUUAUAUAUUCUUAAUAUCAUCUUGUCUUUUUCUGAUAAAUUAUAUGCUAAGUCUUCAAUGAGGUGAACCUAAUGAUUGUUUCAAUGCCUAAUUGUGUAUGGCUGAGCACUUUACAGGCUGAAGUUUAUCACCUGUAUUCUCCAUCAUCACUGUGCUUUAUUAACACUGAUUGCUUCUAACUUUCUGCUACUGAUUCCUUCUGAUCUGAGUCUCUGUACUCCACGUGACGUUUGUGAAACCAAAGCAGCUGUUUGUGUCCUGGUCCAAGCAUGACAAGCUUAACAUCUCAUACUUCAAUCUCCAGUGGGAUGUCGGUUCUCUCUUUCUCGCUGGAGCUGUUUCAACUGAUGCCAGGAACUAUAUAAAAAAUCUGUUUGGAGGUUUCUUUCAGCAAUAAAUGGAAUUAAGGAUAUUGUAUUUUUUUAAAAGAAUGAGCUUCAUGACCAUAACUGAAGUUACUUAAUUUUUAUUCAUUUGUUAACUUCUGGUGUUCCUCUUUGUUGACUAACCAUUUCCUUCUUAAGCUUAAGCUGAUGACCCCUUACGUUACUGGGAUUCAAACAGAGACAACAUAUGAUUAUAAACACACAUUGACUUUUGUGUUAUAAUUUAACUAUUAGUGUUAGUGGUUUCAAGAACAUGAACUAUUGGUCAACCUGGCGUAGAUAUCAUGUCAAGUAAUUAUUAAUUCCCAGAGCUUAAGGUGAUAGGAAAAUGCCCAACAAUAAUUUUACACAGUUAAAGCUAUUUUAUGGUUCUUCACCACAGGGUUUUGUAUUCUUCUUCUGCUUGAAAUUUUUUUUUACUACUCAUAAUAAAAUUCUUUUCUUCUUGACCCUAUACUAUCAAUCAAUAUUCUUAAUAUUCUGUGUUUGAUAUUCAUGUAUUUCAGGGAACCCCUCAUGAAUUGCUGUCCUGUUUGUGGUGAGACUCUUGAAGUUGCUGACAUGGUGAAUACUAUGAUUCAUUUGACUCUGUGUUUUGACGAGGGAACUGGAAACCAGGUUAUGACUGGAGGAUUCUUGACUGAUAAACAAGCUUCAAAUGUGUGAGAACACUUCUACUGUUGCAUGCACACUAUCUCUUGAACUUUUUUCUACUUUUUCAGUGUGGCUGUUGUAUUUUUAUGUUAUUUUAAAUUGCUAAAUUCAACUUACAUUUUGCUAGCUGGAUGUUUAAACUAAGUGAAUGGGGCCAUUUUUCAUCUUAUGAUAUUGGCUUAAACUCUGGUUCAAGAGCUCAUAUUCUGGUAUGUUUCCUUUGUUGUAUUUUCUAAUCAAUUUCUUUUUCCAACUUAUUUGUUGGGGGAUUCUGUACAUUGUUCAUGUCAUUGGAUGCAAUGCUUUGUCGUUUGAACUUGGAUUUCAUUCACAACAUGGUCUCAGUUGAUAGCUUAUUUAUUUAGGUUUUUGAUCGGAGGACAAAAAGGCUGGUGGAAGAAUUGAUUGAUGUUAAGAUUGUUAUGUCAAUGAGAGCGAUUUACCAAUCAAAAAUAGGGCUUGGCCUCAUGGACAUAGGUAUGUGGUACUAUCUGUUACAUGCUAUGAUUCUUGUCAUAUGUAUUUCCCCACUCUGAAGAUCUUGUGGUUUAGUUUUCAAGAGAUAGUGUCCAGGUUAAACUAAGUGUGGGGACUGGUAAGGAUAUUCAGUUUUGGGAGGAUAAAUGGUUCGGAGAUUUUUCUUUGUGAGUGUUUCCCUCGCCUCUAUAGGUCUGUCCCACAAGAAAUUCUCCUAUAAAUUUUUUGCACAUCUUCUUCCUCUUUGUUGAAUUAGCAUUGGAAUUUCAACUUCAACAGAAAGAUUCAGGAUUAUGCUUCUCUCUUGAUGUUGUUAAACAAUGUCGAUAUCGAUGAAAUGAAAGAAGACAGAGGAUUGUGGACUUUGGAGACAUCAGACAUUAUUCCUGCAAAACUUAUCUUGACUGACUGAUUAAUAAUGUCUCCUAGGCUGAUUUCUUACCCUCCAAAUUGAUCUGGAAGGCUAGUAUUCCUCCUAAAAUUCAAGUCUUUUUGUGUGCCUUGGCUCAAGGAAAAUUAAAUUCUGGGGAAGUGAUUCAAAGAAAGUUCCCUAAUAUGUGUCUAUCUCCAUCUUGGUGUGUGAUGUGCAAAACAAAUGCAGAACAAGCUAACCUGAAUUGUCACCUCCUUGUUGAAAGCUCAGUUGGUGGCUAGAGCGUACAAUCAAUCUUAUGGAGUUGACUAUCUCGAUAUUUUUCUCUAGUGGCUUGAAUAAAUUCUAUUCAAUUUCUUAUACCAUAGGUAGUCCACGAUUGGCUUUUAUUUCAACUUGAUGCAAAAAAAUGCCUUCUUUAAUGCUAUUUGGUGGAAGGGUGUGGGGCAAUCCUUAGGUUUUGUUCCUCAGGCAGGUUUGAUGUACAGGGCCUCAAGCGGGGCAGAAUAACUAGCGGCUCCCUUUCAGGCUAAUUUCCACCUUCCUUCCUUUUCCCCCUAAUACCCAAUUAUCCCCUACUGUCAUAGUUGUAAUGGUAAGGGUUAAUGGAGUAUAAUAAAAAUAUGAGGAAGUGGUAAUUAGCCCAAAAAGUAUCCCUCAAACCAUCAUGGAGGGUCUGCUUUAAGAAACUAAGCAGACUUAUACUGUCUUUUGGACUUGGAAUACGUCAGUUUGAUCAUUUUGUCUUUCUGAAACAUAUUCCUGUGGUAAUGGUUGCUCUUGUAGUUUACAUUCGUAGUAUCAUUGUACAUCAUAACACUGAUUUGUUGGUAUUGAUGUAAAAAGCCAAUUUCCCAUGGACAUCUUCUUCCCCUUUGCUCUUUCUCUCCCCCCUCUCUCCACCCCCGUCCCCCAAUGCCAACCCACAAAAACUACUCAAAUGAGUAUUUGUGAAUUUUUUGUAGUAGGUACCAUUUACCUUUGUUCUUGGAUCAUGGCCAAUAUCAUGCACGGUCUUGCAUUAUUUUUUAUUUCUUUGGUUUUUUUAUGGGCCAUGUGGAUGCAGGGACAAAGGAACUGUUGAAGAGCAUCUCUGAAAAGCAAGGAAGGAAAAUGAAUUCAGUUGAAUCAUCUAAAGAAAUCCCAAAGUUUGUAAACUUCUUUAAGGUAUGAUGAUUUCUUUUAGAACACUGUGUAACUUUGCUUUCGUAAUUAUGGCUUUCAUAAUUGUCUUGCUUGGAGUGUUCUCCAUUAUGGUAAUUGAGUUUUGCAUAAGUUUCUAAAGUAUGGGGCCAUUCUUGGUACAGUUUCGACUAGUUUUUCCUUCUCUUGCAUAAAGCUGCAGAUGUACUCAAGCAGUCUGGUUCUGAAAAUAUUUGUCAAGCUAAGUUGAUAAUAUAUGGAUCUGAUUUGAUUUCAAAGGUUUCAGAUGCUUAGCCCUUUUUGGUAUCUGUUUCUUUUAAAUAAACACAUAGUGGUCUUUGUAUUAUACAUUUUCUUUUAAAAUAUACAAUAGCUAGGUUUUACUCUAAUUUAUUGUUGCAGAUUUGUACUCUGUUUAUGUAUUGCCAAAAAAAGGGAAAAAAAAAGAAGAGAUUUUUAAUUGAACUAUUCGAGGGUUCAUUUGAACUCUUUCUUAUUUCAAAAAUGUUGUAAAGAUAAGUCUGAUGUUUUAAAUCUAUCAUUUGAACUUAACAAUGCAAUAUUUGAUGAAUUCUUUAAAAGAAUUUUCUUGUGCCAGGUAAUGGUUGCUCGCUAGUCAGUAUCUCUAUUUGUUAGCCGUAUGAAUCAGGUUUAAUCACAAACAUCCCAUGUAACUCAUAUUUCUUUUUCAAAUUUUUUCACUUUUUUAUGUUUUUUGGGCCAUAAUGAGGAAAAAAGAAUUUGUGGUUAAGAACUGUUUUUUGGAAAGAUGUCGUUGAAUUGCUCAUCAAUCGUAGCCUUGAGUGAUCUGACCUCUGCUUCCAAUUUUUCUUCAAGCGCGUCCACUUUCUUCGCUGCCAUUGUCUCAGGAUUCUUGCUCUGAUACCACUUUGAUAGGACUUAGGGCUAAAUUAGGGCUAACUUUUAUUGAUUAAAUCAAAAGAAACAAACAAUCAAUCCUGACCUACAAUUCGAGAGGUAGGUCAAUCUCUCCCAAAACUCCUAAUGGUUCCUAAUACCAGACAAAACUCAACAUAAACCCUAAAUGACUUCAUAAUUUAGGUCAAUCUCUCCCAAAACUCCUAAUGGUUCCUAAUACCAGACAAAACUCAACAUAAACCCUAAAUGACUCCAUAAUCUCUUAUUUAUAGCUAAACCCUAAUUAAUAAUAAAGUUACUAAAUUGCCCCUGCCCCUAAAAUUACUAAACAGCCCCUGCCCCUUUAUAUUUGCGCCUAACAUAAGUUUUCAUGGACCUAACAUGACUCCCCUCCCAAAAAGACACCUUGUCCUCAAGGUGAAAUCUAGAAAACUGUUGCCUCUUCUUCCUCGCCUUCUUCCUCGUCACACACAGUCAGGACUUGUAGUGAUUUAUCCUUACAUCGAUGCCCUGGUGAAAAUUUCUCAUCACAUGGAAAACACACCCCCUUCGCCCUCUUAUCCUGAACCUCUGUCUCUGUGAGGCGUUUGAAAGUCACCCCUAGUCGUGCCCCACUAACCCGAUCCCUUUGGGAAUCUCUCUGUAAACCCAUCAUUUGCAUUUUCUGGCCUCCCGAUGGUGUAUUUUGGAACUCUCGCUGAAACCCCAAAGUCUGAGUUUUCUGUCCUACCAAUGGUGUGUUAUUUCGAUAUGAAAAAUCGACUGAACUGCUCCUAUUAAUCCGUUCUAUUGUGUUAUCCUCAAUCAUCUGUGCCAACUCCAUUGACUCCCCUAACCCUCUCGGCCUUAGCAAGCGUAGCGAGGCUCGGAUUUCUAGCUUCAGUCCCUUCAUAAAAUUCCCUUCCAACACCGCCUCUGGAAGCCCCCCUAGACGCCCUGAUAGCAACUCAAACUUCUCCCUAUACUCCAUAACCGUUCUCUCCUGGAUCAGAGCAAAAAACUGUUCAUGCAAAUCUCCCUCUUGAGUGGCCUAAAACCUCUCCAACAGCCGAUCCUUAAAUUCACCCCACGACCUCAUUGGUUGUCAUUGUUCUCGCCAUUGAAACCACGCAAGGGCCUUUCCCUCCAAGCAUAACGCCGCCGCCAUCAAUUUUUCCCUUUCUGAGAGUCCAUUAAUGGCGAAAUAGCGCUCUGCCCUAUACACCCAUCCAUAGGCAUCCUCGCCUUCAAAAAUAGGCAUUUUCAGUUUCCUUACCCUAGAAUCUACUCCAAAUUGAGUCUGACCCGCCCAAUUUCGUGCCAUCGGAGGUCUCCAACCUCCCCAGUCUACUCCAGUGUCUGCAAAUCCUAAAGAUCCAGCCCAAAAUUCUCCUUGCCCAGCACCAUAGUGGGCUGGAUUCCCUUGCCCAGCCGUAUUUCGGCCAUAACCGCUCCCUUUCUCACCAGAAAUCCCUCCUCCUGGCCUACCGCCCCCAAAUCCAACCUGUUCAGACCCAAGUCCUCCCUGCUCGGGCCCAAAUUCAGCCUGUCCAUAAUGAAUGAUUGAAAAGAGUUUUUAUUAUGUCUGCUGUACCGUACAUCCGCCUUGGCCGUACAGCAGGUGGGCUGGAUUCCCUUGCCCAGCCGUAUUUCGACCAUAACCGCUCCCUUUCUCACCAGAAAUCCCUCCUCCUGGCCUACCGCCCCCAAAUCCAACCUGUUCAGACCCAAAUCCUCCCUGCUCGGGCCCAAAUUCAGCCUGUCCAGGUUGUGCCUCACCCCCAAACGCCCCCGAGUCGCCUAGCCCGGUCACUCUGAUUUCUGUGCCGUCGCCUACCACGGGUUUUGUAACCCCGGAUCCUUCUCCUGCCACACCGCCAUGGCCCCUCGAUGCUGCCAGAGGAGGGUUGAGGUGGAGUUCCGUCAAUUUCAACAGCAUGGCUUCAAGAGAUGAAAAUUGUUGUUGAACGGUGUUGAAUCGCUCAUCAAUCGUAGCCUUGAGUGAUCUGACCUCUGCUUCCAAUUUUUCUUCAAGCGCGUCCACCUUCUUCGUUGCCAUUGUCUCAGGAUUCUUGACAAAACUCAACAUAAACCCUAAAUGACUCCAUAAUCUCUUAUUUAUAGCUAAACCCUAAUUAAUAAUAAAGUUACUAAAUUGCCCCUGCCCCUAAAAUUACUAAACAGCCCCUGCCCCUUUAUAUUUGCGCCUAACAUAAGUUUUCAUGGACCUAACAGUCAACUUAAGUGCCAUUCAAUUUUAAAUUGUAAGAAUGCAAGUUACUGUAGUUGAAUUAUUCUCCACCUUUUCCUUAGAAGAUCGUAUUCUUCCUUCUGUUGCUUCUGCCUUGAUGUUUGUUGUACUCAUUGUAGUUUUUAGAAAGUUUCUGAAACUUUAAACAAGUAGAACUUACAAGCAUAGAUAAUGAAUUUAAGUUGUCAACACUUGUACAUUUUUAUACAAUCAUUUUCCCAAUACUGGGUAAGUGUAUCUGUGAAGAAGAAUUGAGAAAAUUUACUUCACUGAGGAAGAUUAAAAUUGUUGAUAAAUGAAGUGCUUGUUCUUUUUUCAUAUAUUGAUGAGAAACAUAUGGAAUAAAAAUAUAGAGCUGAAUCCCCGAAUAAAAAAGGGAAAAUAAGGUAAAAAAUCUCUUCAGCCAAUUCGGAAAAUUCGAAGAAACGAACUUGUUUACUAUUUUGUUCCGUCUAAAAUUAAAAUAUUAAUGUACUUAAUGUGUAUAAUAGUCCCUAUUUCAACAAUUGCCUAGGUCAAUAUGAUAUAAAUAGAAAGAAUGAAGACAAGCAGAUUAUUACUUGAACAACUAGGUCAUCUCUUCAUGUAUUUAGCUCUCGGAUAUUUUGGCAUCAUAAAUUCUGGGCCUUCUUAGAUCAUCCUUCUUGUAUCAUAGCUUGUGCAUGCUGCAAGUUUCUUCAAAAAUACUUUCUUCUUUAUAAAAGGAUGUGGAGGAUUUAGAAAUUUGAAGAUAUUUCAGAGUUAGUGGAGUUUACAAUAUUUCAGUUAAAAGCUUUAAAUAUAUAAGUAAUAUCCUCCCAUCAUUUAUAGAAUAAUUUUAUUAUUCUACUUUAUUUUAAGAUAAUGUAAAUGUGUAGUAUUUUUGUAAGUACUUGUGUGCAUGAUUGCUGAACCACGUGAUGAAUUCUUCAAUCCCAGUUCCUUUUCAAAAGCGUUCGGUUUAAGGUGGCCUUUAAUUUUACACAAGUUAAGUUAAUCACUGUCACUGUUGGAAAAUAUGGUUGAUUGUCUUCUUGUUUAUGAAUAACAGUUGUGUAGAUCAAACAUACUCUGCAGUAACUAGGGAGUUCCGGACCUUCCGGAAAAAGAAUUCUUAACUGGGAUGGGAUUUUUGGUUUAUUUGUAUGCUCUGUUUUGCAUUUUUCCUUUUGCAAUUGUUUUUUUUUUACGCCAUUUGGCAGUUCUCUUUUUUCCUUGAUUUGCAGCGGGUUUUGGGUCUUUGCUUUUUGUAAUUAGUCAUGGAUACUUGAUGCAAAAAUAGAUGUAGUUGUUUAGAUGUUGCCAGCCACUAUGGACCGCCAGUGCUCUGCAGUUGUUUUCUCUUUCAAGACAUUACUCUUUUUUCUUUUUCCCCCCCAAUCUUGUUAAAAAAUAAUGUUUAUAGCUUGAUUAUAUUGUUGUCUUCCUCCCAUAAACGUUUACCCAUCCUUGAAUUGUAUAUGGAUUAUUAUAAGACCCGAUCAAUAAAAUACAUGCGAUGUCUCUUGAAUUCCUUAAAUAUGAAAUGUUGGAUAAUUACUAUUGUUGUUGUUUUUAUUUUUAAUUUUUUAAUUUUUUGGUUUUUCCUUUUUUUACCUUUGUGAUGCCUUUAUUUCUGAAGUAUGAGAACUUAUACACACUUUCUGUGUAUGUGUAAUAUAAUUUGUUGUUGUAGGAUCAAAUCAACUUGGCUGAUGUCAAGUACCCUUUGGAACAUUUUAAGGUAUGUUAGGAAAUCCUAAUAGAUCUGUUCAAUUUUAUGAAUGCACAAAUUUAUUUCCCCUAGUAUUCUUUGUUUCCCGCCACGUUGAUUUCUAUUCUGGAAUCAUUUCACACUGUUUAAUUUUGGAAGCACAUACUGUUAUGGCAAGAGUCUAUAAUAGCGGUAUCUCAUGAAUAUUAGAUUAUGUUUAUCCAUAAGGUUUGUAUUUAUGGGUGGUUCAGGUCUCUACCAAUUCUUUUGAUAGAUUGCUCAUUUAUCAAUUUUUUGCAAAACUGCAGUUUUAUUUGAACAUGUGACUUCACAAAUUCCGCAAUCAAUAUUUCCCUGUCCUCGUUGACUCUUCAACUGCCUGUAAUUAUUGGGAAUGUUGAAAUAAAGAUUGAUUUUUUUUUUUUUUUUUGAGUUUUGCUUCUGAAAGUGAAUUUAGAAGAGCAGCCGAAACCUAAAUUUAAGGCAUUUUGAGUUAGUUUGCCCUCCUCCAUAACGUUAUAGCUCUUUAAUUGGAGGGCACACGCUUUUCCAUGGAUUUUGCACUUCUCAUCAGCUUACCCCUAUGGGUGCACACAAACUAAAACUUUCUGAGUUAUUCAUGCUUGGCUUGCUGCAAAAGUGCGGUUCAGCUCGUUUUACUUACACACUGAACUGUAAUCCGGUUUAUCCUGAGCCUAUGUAAUUAAUUGAGCUUUAAGUCAGUACAAUUUGGCACUGCUUUAGGAAAGCUCAAUAGUUCUAUUACCCUGCAUACAUACUUUGUAGAUAUUAGAAAACAUUUUUGUAUUUUGAUGUUAAAUUAUUGUAUUCAAACUCUCACGAAGGUUCGACAUCUUAUUGACCAUCUCAAUUGGCCCUAUGUUUUCUCUAAUCUUUUCCAACCUUGAGAGUCAAAAAGUAUAGACCAAUCUUCAAUUACUCAAAUAUGGAAAAUAAGAAGUUGGAAAAUGUUAUUUCAUGUUUGAUAGAAUUUUACUUUAUGCACUUAAGUUUCAUUAGAAAUACCAUUAUUCUGUUUCUUAUAAAAAAUGUGUAAAAUGAAUAAUUAUGAAAAGAACCCCCCAUGUCUCUGGAUAAAUCCUUGGCUGUGAUCGAUGAAAAUUGCAAUUAGUCUAGAAACUAAAUCUUGUCCGUUGUAUUUAGAUGACUUCUUGGUAUAUAAUGCUCAUGACAGCAUAAAUUUUGGACUGGCUCUGGAUGCAGACAUUUAAUGAAUUCUUCAUUAGAGAGUUAAAACCGGGUGCAAGACCAAUUGAUUGCAUGGAACGUGAAGAGGUUGCUGUAUGUGCAGCUGAUAGUCGUCUGAUGGCUUUUAAAUCGGUUGAAGACAGCCUUAGAUUUUGGAUCAAGGUACAUAGGCACUUAGAUGUGUUUCUAAGAAGGCUUAAAAUUUUUUAAACAUUAUACAAUGAGUACUAUUAACAAAAAUACAAGACAUACAAACUCUUGUACAGAUUGACAUGGCAUGUUAUAUGAUUGCCACAUGUACCAAACCUUGAAAACGUGGGAAAUGUGGUAAUGAUUUUUAUCAUUACCACAUCAAUUUGUACAAACAGAGUUUAUAAAAGAAUUGUUAGGUGUAGCAUUACUCUGCUUUAUAUAUAUUCACUUUAUUUCUUAUGUUAAUUGGGUGAUCUGAGAUAAUUCAAGAAAAUAUAUGUACUGGAUGAGAAUUUUUUUUUUUAAUUUCUAUAAUUAUCUUAACAUAAAUUAUGCAAAACAGAAACUAUUUUUCAUAAACUAUUCUAUCAUAAAUGCACAUUAUACCUUAAAUUUCUAAUAUAGUCAUUGUGCACACACUUGCAAAGCACACAACAUUUCAAAGAAUAUGGUUUAUCAACUGCCUAACUAGUUUUCCUUAUUGCUGAUUACUCUUUUAGCAUACUUAAACAGUGAUUAUCUGAAAUGUCACAACAGUACCAAAUUUGCGCGAGUCAUCUUUAGGUUCAACUUUAAUGCGAAAUAAUCUGGAUUCUAUUCUGGCUUUAUUAUUUUGAAUAUUAGAAGGUUGUUAUUCUAAAAUAAUGAACUUAACGAUUACCAUGUAACUUAAUUGUAAAAAGUUACUCUCCCUAGAAUCGGAUCACAACUUAUCUAGUAUGUGGAUUUACCUUUUCAACUUUCCAAUCACUUUUUUGAACUCCAAAUUCCAAAGUUGCAAUAAUAAUAUAUUUUUGCGAUCUUUUUUCCUUUGUAGGGUCAAAAGUUUUCAAUUCAAGGUCUUUUGGGAAAUGACAUAUGUUCCAAUUCUUUUUUAAAUGGAACUAUGGUGAUUUUUCGGUUGGCGCCACAGGUAUUUUUGAUAAGCUCCCUUGCAGUAGCUUGCAAUACAAAGUAACUAUUUGGGUUAAAAUUUUCAUGAUAUUUUUCUAGGAUUAUCAUCGUUUUCAUCUUCCGGUGUCGGGAAUCAUUGAGCAAUUUGUGGAUAUACCUGGAUGCCUAUACACUGUACGUGAGUAAAUUCAAUUUACAGGGAUCAUGAUAGCUUAUCUAUAAUCUUCUUUUCCUUUUUCAUUUUCCCCUGAUUUCCACCUGAUACCUUAUUGCUUAGGUUAAUCCCAUUGCUGUUAAUAGCAAAUAUUGCAAUGUUUUUACGGAGAACAAGCGUGUUGUAUCAAUUAUUUCGACUGCACAUUUCGGAAAGGUCUGUCAUUACUCUCGCUCUCACUCUCACUCUCACUCUCGUUUUGGAUUAUUAUUAUGCUGAUUUGAUAUUUCAUUCAUUCACCUUUUUCUGUUCUUUUUUUUUUUUUUUCAAAUUUGAUACAAAUGCUAGUCCCUAGAAUCAAUAAGGAUUUCAUAGACUCUUUGGUAUGUCCAUGAUGAAGGCUUUGGUUAAUGACAUUUUUGUACGAGUAAUACUGGGGAUCCCAAUAAUUGAGUUCCCACAGAUGUGGCAUUCAAUUAAUAGAUGGCAGAAUAUUAAUUUUACCAAUUAUGAAAUUCAUUAUCCAAUAAAUGAAUGACACAACAAUUGGGACUCAACUGUUGGGAUCCAUAAUAUUAUUGUUAUUGUACCAGUAUCUUUUUACGUCUUUUAACUUGAGCUAAUUUUCCAUGUGUGAGAGUCUCCUGGCAAAAGAUUCACGUACCAAAUUAUUGUUAAUUUUUGGCAUUUCUCAUAUUUCAAAAAUAUAGAUGGCUGUCAAUCUAUUUUAAAAAUUUAUCCUUGAGUUUGGUAUUUUAUCAGUGUGAUAUCACAGUUCCUGCACUCGAUGGCCGUUAUAGUUGACAUCCACUGCAUUUGACCAUCUGUUUGUGCAAAACUUGUCAUUAUUUAUAGAUUAAGAUUUUUUGUUGAUUUCAAAAUUUUCACAUCAGGCAUUGCAAUUAUUGGGAGAACAAUGAUGUUAGUUGAGUAAUAUCACCAAAGAGAAAAAAGACAGGCUGAAAAUUGUUGUAUCCAUGACUCAUAAAGUACAAGAAAUCUAUAGGACUAGAACAUUAUUUUGAUGAUAUAAAAGUAUAGUGAAUGAGAGCAACUAGUGAUAUCCUUUGUUUCAUAAUUUGGCUUUAUACUAAAGUGGGAGCAUAGAUUUUUGGAAUACCUAACUUGGAAUCAGGAUAUAUAAUGGUUCUUUUGUGCACAACACUGAUAAGAAUGUCUUGACUUGGAUCUUCUGAUGUGGUAUAAGGUGUAACGCUAGUGAAUAGUAUACGGACUCUAAAUAUUAUACUCCUCUCUGUUGUUAAGUUGCCACAAGGUAGGCCAAUUGCCAAAGGAUAUAAAGACUGAAAAAUUUUAAGAUAAUCAACUCCAUAAGUUUUUGAGUGUAUCCUUCAGCUACUAGUCGGACCUUUAGCCUGUCCAUAGUGCCAUUUUCAAAAGACCUAGAUUUGUGUAAAAAGUUCAAUAGAAGUUCCAUAGACUUAAGAGGCUGUUUUGGGUUAAUCUAAUUUUACUUCAACAGUCCUCUUCAUUCUGUUUGGUAUCAGAUCAAUUGAAAGAAGGCUAGAACAAACAGUUUUUGACCGAAUGUUAGAACCAAGUAAAUUUUGGUUGUUUUUACAUGUUCUUACUUUUGGGAAUGGAGUUUCUGUUGGCCUUCUUAGGAAAAGUUUGUUGGAAAAAAUGCCUUUUUGAUUUUAAAUAUUUUCACUUCAACGGUCCUCCUCGCUAGUUUUCCCAAUGUCCCCAAAUGUUCUGCAACUUGGUGGUGCUACAACAUAAUGAGCUUUCAUUUCUUGUUCAAUAGCCAACCUCGAAUUGGAUGAUGUAUAGCUUUUUGAUAAUUUGUAGGCAAGACGAAGGGAACUAGAAAAACUAUGAACUGAAAUAGAAUGAGCAAAAAAAUACCUUGUAGGUGCUUCUGUCUACAACUGAACCUUUUCUAAGAGCAGCAUGAAAAUCAAGAUGAAAAAUUUUAGUUGUAGCUUGAUGAGGAUGAUCCCAGAUGGAGGUAGUCUCUUGAAUGGAGGAUUGGGCUAAAGGAGAAGGAUCACCUCGUUAGUAGGUUGCUGUUUAGUUUUCCUACAGGAACAUACUAAAAGACAAAAAACACAAACUCCAAUGCACGUAUGUACCUGUAUGGUUUUAUCUAUUGAAACAACUGGAGGAAGAAUUUCAACAGAGCCAAAAAUAAAUUCAGGUUCCAGAAUGUGAAAAUAAGGAUAUGGACAUGUUAUAUCAGCACUAGCAUGAGUUUCCUGAGAAGUGGGAUUAAGAAACUUUAUCUUUUUGUGUCCUAGAAUAACCAAGAAAGAUACUGUUGAAUCUUUAAUGGCUUAACGAGUCAAUUCUUCAAGAACUUGAUGAACUGAACCAGAUUAAAGCUAAUCCGAACAGCGAACACAGAACCCAGAAUCAAGAACAAACAGAAUAACCUUGUUUCACACAGCCAAGAUUAGAAGGAAAAACCCACUUGUUUUAUUGAUCAAAACACUUAAGAUACAAAGUGGACCUACAGAAGAGAUUGCAAAGGUUACAAAGAAACAAAUCCUAUGCAAUUUGGUCAACAAAUGAAGAAGAUAACAAGUUCAUAUCAGGCGCUGUUCAUCAGCCCCAUUUAUUCUGAUAUUUCCGGGCAAGCAGAUUCAGCAUAAAAUAUUAAUAAGACCCCAUCAACUAAAGUCAACCUCACAAUGACCCCGUAAGUUCUUCAUGAUUUGCAUUUGAGUCCAAAAACUCAGGUGCUAACAUCUUCACAGAUACAUUUGGUUGACUUAGGGAAAGUCUAUAAGUUAUAACAUGGACAAGGCAAACGACCAAAUAUACAUUGUGAGAAAGAAAGUAGAGUUUUGUUGUGAAAUAAAAUAAAAUAUGCUGCUCCAAAGUUAAGUGAUGAUCGUAGUAGUCUUGUUUAUUAGUAGCAAGCAGUGAGAAGAGCUUCUCCAAAAUCUUCAUGGGACAAUUUUAUGGAGAAGAAUAGUUCUUGAUGUCUAACAAUGCCUAUAAUUUAUUUCAGCUACUCCAUUUUCCAAUGGAGUUGAGGACAGGAAUUUUGAAGUAUCAUAUUUUGAAGUUGGAACUGACAAUAUUCUAGGGCAAUUGAUUACAAAGAGUUUCAUCAGAAACAAUGGUGGAGUCUUUAUUUCAAUAAAAGUGUAGUUUUGUUUUGAUAAAUAUUUAUUAGUAAAAUAUGAAAUUGUCCCAUGAAGAUUAGUAAAAUAUUUAUUUGUAAAAUAACCAUGUAGUUUGUUAACGAUUAUCAAGACAAAAUAUUUAACCACAUGGAAGUUAUGAACUAUUCAGGGACCUAAGGACCGAGUGUCUGAAAAAAUUGUGAUGCACAGUAAUUCUAUUAACUCAUGAGGGACAUGAAGAUGUUUUCCUAGUUGACAAAACUAGAAUUGCCUAACCUAUUUCACCAAAUGAUGAAACAGUUGAGGGCGAGGAUGACCUAAUAGGUAAUGCCAUUGUUCUGAAGAAACCACUGAGAAAAGAAAAAGUGUGCUGGAUAAUAAACAUGGUGCAGAAAUCUGACAGAGUCCGUUUAUCUCAUUUCCUUCACCAGUUUGUCUUUCUUGUAUCAAGAUCUUGAAAAUCACCAUUAGAUGAUAAAAAAAGAAAAGGAUUGAAAAUUUCUUUAGCUGACUUAGUAACAGAGAAAUUGAAAAUUUAGGGACAGAGAACUGAGGAAACAGAAAUGAUAGAAUUGACAAAAAUUGUUCCUACUCCUGAACUGGGCACUUAUGGCCAUCUGCCAAGACUACUAAAGGUGCUUUGUUGGAAGGAAAAUAAAAACUAAAUUUGGAGUGGUAGCAGUCAUAUAAGAUGAAUUACCAGUGUCCAUUAUCCAAGGAAUAGGAUCGGAAGUUGCACUUGAAGUAUUGAUGAUUGGCUUCCUCAUAUGGGUUCACAUGAGUUUGUUAAAUAAAAGUAGAAGCAGGAGUUAUCAGUGCAGAGGGAUUUUCUCUUUUUCAAUGAGAAGUUGAAUUUUCAUUUUAUAUAAUAGUGGAUCUUAUCAUAGUCAACGUUGUAACUGAAACCCAGGUGCUACGACAAAUGAAAAAGGGAUGCAGUGAUACUAAAAUCCUGUCAAAAACCAACCACUAAAAGAUUGACAAUCUCUCAGCCUCAUCAUAAGUUUUACAUGUCAACAAAUCUAUGGUGCGUUUAUUUGCUGGAGUAGUAAUGGAGAGUGUAGAUUUUUCCUACUCUAGUGUUUACUUGCGCAUUUAAGAAGGAGAGUAGGAG